rnacentral:lncRNA from 1 species
UUCCAUUUCAUAGGUAUACAAAUCACAUACGAAAUCAAUAUUUUGAACAGAUCACAGAACAAAUGAAAUUCGUCCAAAAAAACACUAAAUUAGUCUAUUACAAUCUUUACACUACUACAACUCAAAUAUGCCUACUACAGCCUACUAUCACAAUACAUGAUAUGCUACUCUUUGCAUAUAGGCUUCACGACUUCACGCUUGGGUUCAUAUUAGGGGUGGAGCUCCUGUAAAAGAGGAACCAGCUAAAAAAGUUACAUGCAACAUUAUUUCCUAUAGAUCAGCUUGCUGCAUAUUAAUCUAACGCUGCCUUCUACUUGCAGACUAGAAGUGUCCCUUGAGAGAAACCAGAACUUAGAAUUGAAGCAUGGAUCAUAUUCUAAACACUACAGUAUCAACACCAUGGCAGUAACAAAUUAACAGUAGCAGGACAUUAAUGGGGCACAACUUAGUUAGCUACUAAUGUUCACCAAAUUCAAAGAUUGUAUGCUCUAGCUAACAAAAAUAUAAUACCAUGCUUAGGAGCUGAGAGCGAGAAAAGUAUGUGUCGCAUAAGAGAUACCAAAAUCGAUACUGAUCAAGGAUAAAAACAUGUAGAUAUCAUAUAAUUCCCAUCACAAUCAUACAUUGAAUUCAUUAAAGGCUGCAGAUUCAUUUCUUAGACAUAGAAUUGGAAAAUCACAAGAAUAGCAGAUUCACCAAUGUGUCCAAAUAAGACAAGGAAGAGAGUGGGACAGACCAAGGACUUACGCUGUGGACAGAUCAAAGAUGCCUCCUCUUCCUCGGUGGACAGAUCAAAGAACUAACAGCUAUAGACAUACACAAGGAUCGGUGUUAGCAGAAUUAUGAUAUAUUUGUACAAGGCAAUCGCAGGUACCAAUCCAGUGCAAGAUAAUAGAGAAAAUAUGUCAAAGUUAUUCAGAUUUACUAAUGUGUUUUCCAUACUACAAAUAUUCAAGAUAAAAGAUGUGUACUGAUUCAACACUGCAAACUUAUUCCUGAAAGCGUUACUGUGUAGAUAAGUGAACUGAGCAUUGUUUUUUGUUGACUCUAGUACCUAUAAAGUUGACAGAUGAUAAACUACUGCACUUAUAUACAUCCACCUAAGAAAGGACCGAUGGAAGUCGGGAUCCCAACUUAUUCAAAUUAGAGAAGUUCAUUUAACUUGCACAAUCCAGAGAGAAAUAUGUCCAGACUUGGAACAUAAGGAAAGACACCAAUAUAAGCAAGAAUUUACAACAAAGUAGACAUUAAUUAUAACAUAGCAGCUCUAGCUAUGUUGUUGUUUGCAUAUUAAAACCAGUAGUUGACCAUAGACGCAAAUAUAUAAGUACAAUACUUGAGAUAAAAUAAAAACAGAAUCUAUAAAGCUUGGAGCAUAUGAUAUAGUAAUUGGCAUGCUGAAUUUUUGCAGAUAAGCAUCAAAUUGGAGGCAGGGAUGCCAAAUCCAUCCAAGAUUUGUAUGAUGCAUAGACAAGAUCCAGUUAUCAUGACACAAUGACCAUCCUAUAAAAUGAAAGACAUGUGCUGCUCAUUACAAUUAUUUUAAGCUGAGUGUUUGUUUAUUCUCUUUGAUUUAUGCAAGCAGAGAUGUAGGAGACAUGGAGGCAGGGAGCCAUCACAUAUGCAUGUAUGUAUGUAUGAAGCAAAACAUGAUGGCUCAUUUAAAAUUGUCAAAACAUAUUCAAUAGUAGCCUUGUUUGAGAACCCCAAUCACAAAGAACAUAAAUAUGAAAACCAAGCAUAAAUUGAAUUUUGCUUCACAAGAUACGAUAGAUUCACUUUUAAAAGCUAAAAGAAUAAUGGAAUUCAAUAAGGGGAGCAUACACUCUCUAUCAAAAGAUCCAUCUAAGGAUUCUGCACAAAAAACCAAAAAAGGUCAGCUUAUAACAGCAAUGAAAGCUAUCUAACGGCAAUCAUUGUACCAAACCAAGGAGCACAGUUACAGAAAAAAAACUACAGGAGAGAUGAAAUAGUCAAACAAGGCAUUCUAGUGUACUACACUUCAUAAAACCAUAAGAAUAAUUCAUGUUGACAGUGCAUGGUAUCAAUCAAAGUUGUACAGAUAUUUUGACAGUGCAUUGUAUCAAUCGAAGUUGUACAUAUAUUUUGAGAGAAACAACAAUAAGUCAUUGGAUUGCACAGCACAACAACACAAUAGUUUGUUUCCCUUUCAUUUGAUUUCAUCACCAAGAAAAAAUGAUCAACUGUUCGGAGGCAAGACACACUAGAGAUACAGAUUCACACAACUCAAUUUAUACUACCUGUACUUCAUCACAGACAGACCCAUGGAUACGGAUGCGAUUCCCUCCCUUUCCAUGUAGAACAGCAACGCCAAACGGAAUGCGAGCGCGUGCGCCGUCAAAAGAUCCCCUUGUUCCUACAUGCAACAAAGAGAGGAACGGAAUCAGUGCAAAGCGCCCAGCAGGUACCUCUUGACGAUCUCUGCAAGAAGUGGCUCUGGGAGAUCCUGCAUUGAGUAUAUCAGGUGUAGAACUUGUGCAGUCUCGAAGUUCAGCAGGCACUGAAGUAAAGAAUCUACUUGUGACAGCCCGAGACCGACGCCCCAGAAGAUUCCCCCUUUAUUUCCGUUUCCGUCGUGUGAUUAGUUUUAUUUGCUGGAUCUUCAUUUAGGUUGCAUCAUGGCAUCAUGGAUGGCAUCAUAUCAACUGUGUUUUGUCGGUGUUGCUUGUUGCUCCGUGUUGUUGGAUGUUAAUGCUUGUGAGUGCUUGUGAGUGUGGCGUUGUUCGUUGGCGUGAUGAGAGUGGGUGCAACAGAGCCGCUUCAAACCCUGUUGCACCGCGGACCUAAAACCUUCUCUCCCCUCCUCUCCCCUCUUAUUUCGUUUUUGUGGUUUUGCUAAAGUCUUUGUUUAAACCCCUAUUUAAAAGGGUUCGUCUUCUUUUUAAUAAAAGUCAUUUUAUUAAAUGUGGGGGCAACCUUGGGUUUUUCUUUUAUUUCUUCUCUUGUUUUAUUUUAAAACAGUCUCAUUUCCUUUUCUUCUUUAAAGAGCUUUUAUUUUACUCUUUAAAUAAAAGAGGUUGUAUUUUAUUCUCUUGUCAAAAGGGGUUUAAAUUUUAUUCUUUUAUGAAAGGGUUUUAUUUUAAUUCUUAAGAAAAAGGUUUCACUUUUAUUUCUUCAAAAAUGCCCAAAACUAUUUCUUAUAGUGGGGUAUGUUUUAAAGUAGUUAAAAAGGUAUUUUCUUUAUUUUAAUUUUUUCUGUUAAAACCUUUUCUUUGUGAGUUUCUGUUUUCUUUAAAAAAAUAACCAAGUUAAAAAAAACAAAACAAAGAGAGGGAGCCCAGCCUAGUGUUGCCACCCAAGCCCAAGGCCCAGCUGGCCAACCCUAGCGUCCCUAGCCCGGUUCCUCCUUGUUCCUCUCGUUCUCCUCCCGCAGCCGCCGAGCUCUCGUCUCCUCCCUUUGUUUCUCUGCCUAGCCUCGAUCCUCUUCGCCCUCUCCUCCCCAGGCUGCCGUGCCGUCGUGCCCGAGUUGCCCCAGGCCGAGCCGCCCCGCGCCGAUUACUCUGGUCGCCGUCUUCCGCGCCGUGCCGUGCNNNNNNNNNNNNNNNNNNNNNNNNNNNNNNNNNNNNNNNNNNNNNNNNNNNNNNNNNNNNNNNNNNNNNNNNNNNNNNNNNNNNNNNNNNNNNNNNNNNNUCGUCUCAACGGAUUUCGAUGGUGCCCUAUUUAAAGUGAAUGCAGCUGUUUCUAAUGCAUAACCCCAAAAUGAUAACGACAAAUCAGUAAGAGACAUCAUAGAUCGCACCAUCUCUAACAAAGUACGAUUACGACGUUCGGACACACCAUUACGCUGUGGUGUUCCAGGCGGUGUUAACUGCGAAACAAUUCCACAUUGUCUUAAGUGAGUACCAAACUCGAAACUCAGAUAUUCACCCCCACGAUCAGACCGUAGGAACUUGAUCUUCUUGUUACGAUGAUUUUCCACUUCACUCUGAAAUUGCUUGAACUUUUCAAAUGUUUCAGACUUGUGCUUCAUCAAGUAGACAUAACCAUAUCUACUUAAAUCGUCAGUGAAGGUGAGAAAAUAACGAUAUCCGCCGCAUGCCUCCACGCUCAUUGGACCACACACAUCGGUAUGUAUGAUUUCCAACAAGUCACUUGCACGCUCCAUUGUUCCGGAGAACGGAGUCUUAGUCAUCUUGCCCAUGAGGCAUGGUUCGCACGUGUCAAGUGAAUCAAAGUCAAGUGACUCCAAAAGUCCAUCAGCAUGGAGUUUCUUCAUGCGCUUUACACCAAUAUGACCCAAGCGGCAGUGCCACAAAAAUAUGGUGCUAUCAUUGUUUACUCUAACUCUUUUGGUCUCAAUGUUAUGUAUAUGCGUAUCGUUAUCAAGAUUCAAUAUGAACAAUCCUCUCACAUUCGGUGCAUGACCAUAAAAGAUGUUACUCAUAGAAAUAGAACAACCAUUAUUCUCAGACUUAAAAGAGUAACCGUCUCGCAAUAAACAAGAUCCAGAUAUAAUGUUCAUGCUCAACGCAGGCACUAAAAAUAACAAUGAUUUAAGUUCACCACUAAUCCCGAUGGUAGUUGAAGUGACACUGUGCCGACGGCGAUUGCAUCAACCUUGGAACCGUUUCCUACGCGCAUCGUCACUUCGUCUUUCGCCAGCCUUCGUCUAUUCCGCAGUUCCUGCUUCGAGUUGCAAAUGUGAGCAACAGAACCGGUAUCGAAUACCCAGGCACUACUACGAGAGCCGGUUAAGUACACAUCAAUAACAUGUAUAUCAAAUAUACCUGAUUUUUCUUUGCCCGCCUUCUUAUCUGCCAGAUACUUGGGGCAAUUGCGCUUCCAGUGACCCAUACCCUUGCAAUAGAAGCACUCUGUUUCAGGCUUAGGUCCAGCCUUGGGUUUCUUCGGCGGAUUGGCAACAGGCUUGCCGCUCUUCUUNNNNNNNNNNNNNNNNNNNNNNNNNNNNNNNNNNNNNNNNNNNNNNNNNNNNNNNNNNNNNNNNNNNNNNNNNNNNNNNNNNNNNNNNNNNNNNNNNNNNUCCGGAGGUUGGUGGUGAUCUAAUCUCAGCAGGGCUCCGCCCGAGCUCCGUAGAAACGCGAUCUAGAGGUAAAACCGUGGAGGUAUGUGGUCGGGCUGCCUUGAAAAAGUUGUCUCAAAUCAGCCCUAAAACCCCACUAUAUAUAGGAGGGAGGGAGGGGAGGAGGCAGCCUCAAAACCUAAAGGUUUGGCCGAAAUUGGAGGUGGAGGAGUCCUACUCCGAUCCUACUUGGAGUAGGAUUCCACCUUCCCACUUGGAAACUCUUUCCACCUUGUGUUUUUUCCUUCUCAAACCUUAUGGGCCUUAGUGGGAACUUAUUCCAGCCCACUAGGGGCUGGUUUAUCUCUUCCCAUAGCCCAUGAGACCCCUUGGGGCGUGAUACCCUCCUGAUGGUCCCCGACACCCCUCUCGGCACUCCCAGUACACUACCGAUGAGCCCGAAACUUUUCCGGUAAUGCACGAAAACCUUCCGGUAACCAAAUGAGGUCAUCCUAUAUAUCAAUCUUCGUUUCCGGACCNNNNNNNNNNNNNNNNNNNNNNNNNNNNNNNNNNNNNNNNNNNNNNNNNNNNNNNNNNNNNNNNNNNNNNNNNNNNNNNNNNNNNNNNNNNNNNNNNNNNUAGUGUAAGUUGCGGGAUCUUGUAUUACGGAACGAGUAAAGAGACUUGCCGGUAAACGAGAUUGAAAUAGCAUUGCGGAUACUGACGACCGAAUCUCGGGCAAGUAACAUACCGAAGGACAAAGGGAAUGACAUACGGGAUUAUAUGAAUCCUUGGCACUUAGGUUCAAACGAUAAGAUCUUCGUAGAAUAUGUAGGAUCCAAUAUGGGCAUCCAGGUCCCGCUAUUGGAUAUUGACCGAGGAGUCUCUCGGGUCAUGUCUACAUAGUUCUCGAACCCGCAGGGUCUGCACACUUAAGGUUCGACGUUGUNGGAGUCCCGGUUGAGAUCAUGGACGUCACGAGGGUUUCCGGAAUGGUCCGGAAACGAAGAUUGAUAUAUAGGAUGACCUCAUUUGAUUACCGGAAGGUUUUCGGAGUUACCGGGAAUGUACCGGGAAUGACGAAUGGGUUCCAGGAGUUCACCGGGGGGCAACCCACCCAGGGGAAGCCCAUAGGCCUUGGGGGUGGCGCACCAGCCCUUAGUGGGCUGGUGGGACAGCCCAAGAAGGCCCUAUGUGUUGGGAAACGUAGCAUAAAUUCAAAAAAAUUCCUACGCAUGUUCAGAUCUUCCUAUGGAGAGACCAGCAACGAGAGAGGGGUAAGAGCAUCUUCGUACCUUUGAAGAUCGGUAAGCGGAAGCGUUGCUAGAACGCGGUUGAUGGAGUCGUACUCGCAGCGAUUCCGAUCUAGUGCCGAACAACGGCACCUCCGCGUUCAACACACGUGCAGCCCGGUGACGUCUCCCGCACCUUGAUCCAGCAAGGAGGAGGGAGAGGUUGGGGAAGAAGACCAGCAACACGACGGCGUGGUGUUGGUGGAGAGACGAGGUCUCCCGGCAGGGCUUCGCCAAGCGCCGGCAGAGAGGAGGAGGAAGAAGUGCAGGGCUGCGCCGAGGGAGAGGGAAAACUGUGUCNNNNNNNNNNNNNNNNNNNNNNNNNNNNNNNNNNNNNNNNNNNNNNNNNNNNNNNNNNNNNNNNNNNNNNNNNNNNNNNNNNNNNNNNNNNNNNNNNNNNGAGUUAUAUGGUUGGUUACCGAAUGUUGUUCGGAGUCCCGGAUGAGAUCACGGACGUCACGAGGGUUUCCAGAAUGGUCCUGAAACAAAGAUUGAUAUAUUGGAUGACCUCAUUUGAUUACCGAAAGGUUUUCAGAGUUACCGAGAAUGACGACUGGGUUCCGGGAGUUCACCGGGGGGGGGCAACCCACCCAGGGGAAGCCCAUAGGCCUUGGGAGUGGUGCACCAGCCCUUAGUGGGCUGGUGGGACAGCCCAAGAAGGCCCUAUGCGCCAUAGGAAGAAAAUCAAAGAGAAAAGGAAAAAAAGAGGAGGUGGCAAAAGGGGGAAGGACUCCUCCUUCCAAACCUAGUUGGACUCGGUUUGGAAGGGGAGGGUUCCCCCCUUAGGCUCGGCUAACCCCCUUGGGAGUCCUUGGACCCCAAGGCAAGGCUCCCCCUCCUCCCCCUAUAUAUACGGAGGUUUUAGGGCUGAUUUGACACAACUUUGCCACGGCAGCCCGACCACAUACCUCCACGGUUUUACCUCUAGAUCGCGUUUCUGCGGAGCUCAGGCAGAGCCCUGCUGAGAUUAGAUCACCACCAACCUCCGGAGCGCCGUCACGCUGCCGGAGAACUCAUCUACCUCUCCCUCUCUCUUGCUCGAUCAAGAAGGCCGAGAUCAUCGUCGAGAUGUACGUGUGCUGAACGCGGAGGUGCCGUCCGUUCGGCACUAGAUCGUGGGACUGAUCGUGGGACGGUUCGCGGGGCGGAUCGAGGGACGUGAGGACGUUCCACUACAUCAGCCGUGUUCACUAACGCUUCUGUUGUGAGGUCUACAAGGGUACGUAGAUCGAACAUUCCCUCUCGUAGAUGGACAUCACCGUGAUAGGUCUUCGUGCGCGUAGGAAAUUUUUUGUUUCCCAUGCGACGUUCCCCAACAGUAUGACCCGCCAAGGACUCUUGGUGGCUCACCGACGACUCAGCAGUGACGUGGUGGGCGACUCAUACUUGACCCUGAUACGUCUCCAACGUAUCUAUAAUUUUUGAUGGUUCCAUGCUAUUAUCUUGUCAAACUUUGGAUGUUUUGGGACUAACUUAUUAACUCAGUGCCAAGUGCGAGUUCCUGUUUUUACGUGUUUUUGACCCUUUUCAUAGGCGAAUAUUAAACGGAGUCCAAACGGAAUAAAACCUCUGAAAAGAUUUUUUCCGGAAAAGAAGAUACGGAGGGAGCUUGAGAACCAAGGAAGAGGGCACAAGGGGAGGCCACAAGCCCCCUAGGCGCGGCCAGGGGGCCGCGCCUAGUAGGCUUGUGGGCCCCUGUAUCUCCUCUGCCCUACUUCUUCCGCCUAUAAAUCCUCGAAAAAUCCAAAACCACGGGAGAGAUCCACGAAAAUAAUUUUCCGCCGCCGCAAGCUUCUGUCUCCGCAAGAUCCCAUCUGGGGCACAUUCUGGUGCCCUGCCGGAGGGGGGAUUUGGAUACGGAGGGCUUCUUCAUCAACACCAUUGCCACUCCGAUGAUGCGUGAGUAGUUCACCAAAGACCUUUGGGUCCAUAGCUAGUAGCUAGAUGGCUUCUUCUCUCUCUUGGAUCUUCAAUACAAAGUUCUCCAUGAUCUUCAUAGAUAUCUAUCCGAUGUAAUCUUCUUUUGCGGUGUGUUUGUCGAGAUCCGAUGAAUUGUGGAUAUAUGAUCAGAUUAUCUAUGAAUCUUAUUUGAGUUUCUUCUGAUCUCUUAUAUGCAUGAUUUCAUAUCCUUGUAAUUCUCUUCGAGUUGUGGGUUUUGUUUGGCCAACUUGAUCUAUGAUUCUUGCAAUGGGAGAAGUGCUUGGUUUUGGGUUCAUACCGUGCGGUGACCUCACCCAGUGACAAAAGGGGUAGCGAGGCACCCAUCGUGUUGUUGCCAUCAUGGGUAAAAAGAUGGGGUUUAUAUCUAUUGCAUGAAUUUAUCCCUCUACAUCAUGUCAUCUUGCUUAAGGCGUUACUCUGUUUGUCAUGAACUCAAUGCACUAGAUGCAUGCUAUAUAGCGGUUGAUGUGUGGAGUAAUAGUAGUAGAUGCAGAAAGUAUCGGUCUACUUGUCUCGGACGUGAUGCCUAUAUGUAUGAUCAUUGCCUUAGAUAUCGUCAUGACUUUGCGCGGUUCUAUCAAUUGCUCGACAGUAAUUCGUUCACCCACCGUAAUAUUUGCUAUUUUGGGAGAAGCCUCUAGUGAACACUAUGGCCCCGGGGUCUACUUCACAUCAUAUUUUCAGCCCUACACUUUUACUCUGUUGCACUUUCCGCCUUCAGAUCUCACCUUGCAAUCAAUCGUGAAGGGAUUGACAACCCCUUUGUAGCGUUGGGUGCAAGUUUGCUGUUUUUGCGCAGGUACAUUGGUGCCUCAUCUUGAUACUCCUACUGGAUUGAUACCUUGGUUCUCAAAAUGAGGGAAAUACUUACUGCUACUGUGCUGCAUCACCCUUUCCUCUUCAAGGGAAAAAACCAACGCAAGCUCAAGAGGUAGCAAGAAUAGUUUCUGGCGCCGUUGCCGGGGAGCAUCAAGUGAAGCUUAUCCAAGUAAGUGUCGCAAACUCAUCUCUUGCAUUUACUUUUUUCCUCUCAUUUUCCUCUCCCCCACUUCUGAAAAACAAAAAUUUACAAAAAUAUUUGCCUUUUUCGUUCGCCCUUUGCUUUCGCUUGUUUUGUGUUCGCUUGUGCGCUUGUCUGCCUGAUAAGACCUGUAUGGCCCAACCAAAGGAUUAUGAUGCUUACUACACAAGGUUGGAAGAGAUUGAAACUAGUGUUAAAGGCUUCAUGUCUACACAGUUUGAUUAUAAUAGUUACUUCCGUAGAGAACUAAGGGAGCAAAAUUCUUUUAUGGCUUUUAUGAAUAAAGAACUUGAUGAUAUGGCCAAAGAAUUCCUUGCGCUAAAUUCUCAGUUUGCUCGUCUUCAAAAAUUGGUAGGCCAGAUUUCUGAUAAACAGGCUACCUUAGUCAAUAAAAUAGCUGCUAAACCUGAAAUAUGUGAUGAGAAUCACGAGAUCUUAAAGUGCUUGGUGUGACUCCCAUUGAAUCCUUGUUUUCUAGUGUCAAACCUAAUGAUGAUGGGGCUGGAUAUUAAUCCAUCUUGGUUGAAAAACGCCCCAAUGAUUCUGAUUCUAUCUAUCUUGAUACUAAAAGCAUUGAAAGUGGAGUAGAGUAUAUCAAAACUUUGAGUAGUAAUGAAACUACUACUUUGGAUUUCAAGGAAUUCAAUUAUGAUAGUUGCUCUUUGAUUGAAUGUAUUUGUUUGAUGCAAUCCAUGCUAAACUCUCCACACGCUUAUAGCCAAAACAAGGCCUUUAUCAAUCAUAUCGUCGAUGCUAUGAUGAAACCUCUUGAAGAGAAACUUGAAUUGGAAGUUUCUAUUCCUGGAAAACUUCAUGAUGAGUGGGAACCUACUAUCAAUAUCAAGAUCGAAAACUAUGAAUGCAAUGCUUUGUGUGAUUUGGGUGCUAGUGUUUUCGUGAUUCCAAAGUCUUUAUGUGAUGUUCUAGGCUUUAAUGAAAUUGAUGAGAGCUCUCCUAAUUUGCAUCUUGCGGAUUCUACUGUUAAGAAACCUAUGGGAAGGAUCAAUGAUGUUCUUAUUAUUGCAAAUAGGAACUAUGUACCCGUAGAUUUCAUUGUGCUUGAUAUUGAUUGCAAUCCUACAUGUCCUGUCAUUCUUGGUAGACCUUUCCUAAGGACUAUUGGUGCUGUUAUCGAUAUGAAGGAAGGGAAUAUUAGAUAGGGAACAUGGAAUAUUUUCCUAGAAAGGAAAUAAGAUUGCCUUAUGAAUCCAUGAUGAGGGCUACUUAUGGUUUGAGUACCAAAGAUGACGAUACAUGAUUCUAUCACCUUAUGCCUAGCUAAGGGCGUUAAACAAUAGAGCUUGUUGGGAGCCAACCCAAUGAAUUUAUCUUUGCUUUCUUCUUUCUGUUUUAUUGCGUCCACACCAUCAUAAUUAUGUUAUGAUUGUGUCUUUUGUGUUUCUUUUUGUGUUGGAGCCAAGUAAAACCUUUAUGACUAGUUUGGUGAUGGUCGUUUGAUCAUGCUGGAAAAAGAAAGAAACUUUUCGCUCACGAAAUUAUUUUUCAUUUUUAUCCAGAAAGAGCACCGAUGACUUUCUGAUUAGAAUAGGGCUACACCAAGGGUCAGCUUUGAGCCCUUAUCUUUUUGAUUUGGUGAUGGAUGAGGUCACAAGGGAUAUACAAGGAGAUAUCCCAUGGUGUAUGCUCUUUGCGGAUGAUGUGGUGCUAGUCGAUGAUAGCCGAACGGGGGUUAAUAGAAAGUUAGAGUUAUGGAGGCGGACUCUAGAAUCAAAAGGUUUUAGGCUUAGUAGAACUAAAACUGAAUACAUGAGGUGCAGUUUUAGUGCUACUAGGCACGAGGAUGGAGAGGUUAGCCUUGGUGGGCAGGUGGUACCGGAGAGAGACACGUUUCGAUAUUUGGGGUCCAUGUUGCAGAAGGAUGGCAAUAUCGAUGAAGACGUGGGCCACCGAAUCAAGGCUGGGUGGAUGAAGUGGCGCCAAGCUUCUGACGUACUCUGUGACAAGAGAGUGCCACAAAAGCUAAAAGGCAGGUUUUAUAGGACAACUAUCUGACCUGCGAUGUUGUAUGGCGCGGAGUGUUGGCCAACCAAGAGACGACAUAUCCAACAGUUAGGUGUAGCAGAGAUGCGCAUGUUGAGAUGGAUAUGUGGCCACACAAGGAAGGAUCGGGUACGGAAUGACGAUAUACGAGAGAGACUUGGGGUAGCACGGAUUGAAGAGAAGCUGGUCCAGCAUCGUCUCAGAUGGUUUGGACAUAUUCAACGGAGGCCAUCGGAAGCGCCGGUGCAUAGCAGACGGAUAAAUCGUGCUGAGAAUGUUAAGAGGGGUCGUGGUAGACCAAACUUGACAUAGGAGGAGUCCGUUAAGAGAGACCUUAAGGUUUGGAAUAUUGACAAAGACUUAGCCAUGGACAGGGGUGCGUGGAAGUUAGCUAUCCACGUUCCAGAGCCAUGACUUGGUUUCGAGAUCUUAUGGGUUUCAACUCUAGCCUACCCCCCAACUUGUUUGGGACUGAAAGGCUUGGUUGUUGUUGUUGAUGAUGAUGAUCUAGAAAGAGCUUUUGAGUUGAUUCUUUUUUGUGCUGGUUGAUAUGCCAAUUCCCCAAACGGUCGUAAUGUUUCAGAAUUUUUGAGAUACCAGAAGUAUACUAAGUAUACAGAUUCUACAGAGUGGUCUGUUUUUGACAGAUUCUAUUUUUGUUGUGUUGAUUGCUUAUUUUGAUGAAACUAUGGAUAGUAUCGGGGGGUAUUGGCCAUGGAAAAGUGAGAAUACAGUAAUCUAACACCAAUAUAAAUAGAAAUCAAGUUUGCUACAGUACCUCAAGAGGUGGUAGUUUGUUUUCUUGUGCUAAUGAUAUCACGAGUUUCUGUUUAAGUUUUCUGUUGUGAAGUUUUCAAGUUUUGGGUGAUGUUCUCAUGGACAAAGGGAUAAAGAGUGGAAAGAUCUCAAGCUUGGGGAUGCCCAAGGCAUCCCAAGCCAAAUUCAAGGACACCAAAAAGCCUAAGCUUGGGGAUGCCCCGGGAAGGCAUCCCCUCUUUCGUCUUCAAUCCAUCGGUAACAUUACUCGGAGCUAUAUUUUUAUUCACCACAUGAUAUGUGUUUUGCUUGGAGCGUCGUGUAUUAUAGGAGUCUUUUCUUUUUGUUGUGUCACAAUCAUCCUUGCUAUACACCUUUUGAGAAAGACAUGCACUCAUCAUGAAUUUGCUAGAAUACAGCUUCGCUUAUAUCUUUUGAGUUAGGCAAUUUAGCUCGCAUGUGCUUCACUUAUAUCUUUUGAGCUAGAUUAAUUUGGUCUAAGUGAUUGACUUAGAUCUUUUAGAGCAUGAUGGUGUCAUAUUUUGGAGAAAUAAGAACUCUUGAUCUUCACUUAUAUCUUUUUGAGAGUGCUCUCUCUGAGUAACUUGGUAGUUGGCUUAUGCUAUGAAAGUAGUCCCAAAGGUGAUAGGCACCCAAAGAGGAUACAAUAAAACUUCCAUAUUCAUGCGCAUUGAUUAGAAAGAGAAGUUUGAUUCCUCUCAAAUAGUUUUGAGACAUGGAUUUGGUAAUAUUAAGAGUUAUGUUAGUAGGGUGUUGUGUAUCUAGAAAUACUUGUGUUAAAGUUAGUGAUUCCCGUAACAUGCACGUAUGGUGAACCGCUAUGUUAGGAAGUCGGAGCAUAAUUGAUUUAUUGAUUGUCAUCCUUUGUGUUGCGGUCGGGAUCGCGCGAUGGUUAACACCUAGCAACCCUUCCCCUAGGAGUAUGCGUUUAGCACUUUGUUUCGAUUACUAAUAAAAACUUUCGCAAUAAGUAUGUGAGUUCUUCAUGACUAAUGUGAGUCCAUGGUAUAGAUGCGUUUUCACCUUCCACCAAUGCUAGCCUCUCUAGUGCCGGGCAACUUUCGCCGGUACACAAAACCACCAUAUACCUUCCUCAAAACAGCCACCAUACCUACCUAUUAUGGCAUUUUCAUAGCCAUUCCGAGAUAUAUUGCCAUGCAACUCCCACCGUUCCCUCUCAUGAUAUGUGUCGUCACUUUCAUAUUGCCAUUACAUGAUUGUAAGAUAGCUAGCGAGAUGUUUCAACGCCAUAUGCCAAGCUAGAUCGUUGCACAUCCCGGUACACUGCUGGAGGCAUUUCCUAUAGAGUCCUCAUCGUUCUAAGCAUUGAGCUGUGAGUAAAUUAAAGUGUGAUGAUCAUCAUUAUUAGAGCAUUGUCCCAUGUGAGGAAAUAAAUAAAUAAAGAGGCCAAAGUUGCCCACACAAAAGAGAGAGAGAGAUAUAUGGAAAGAGGCCAAAGUGCCCAAACAAAAAAAAGAGAAAAAGAGAGAAGGGACAAUGCUAUUAUCUUUUUCCACACUUGUGCUUCAUAAUAGCACCAUGUUCUUCAUGAUUGAGAGUCUCUUGUCUUGUCACCACCAUAUGCUAGUGGGAAUCUUCAAUAUAUAACUUGGCUCGUAUAUUCUAAUGAUGGGCUUCCUCAAAAUUUCCCUAGGUCUUCGUGAGGAAGCAAGUUGGAUGCGCACCCACUAGUUCUUCUUUUUGAGCUUUCACAUACUUAUAGCUCUAAGUGCAUCCAUUGCAUGGUAAUCCCUACUAUUUCACAUUGAUAUCUAUUGAUGGGCUUAUCCAUAGCCCUUAGAUACACCGAGUCGAUGUGACCAUCUCCUCCUUUUUGUCUCACAACCUCCACCACACUCUAUUCCACCUAUAGUGCUAUAUCCAUGGCUCACGCUCAUGUAUUGCAUGAGAGUUGAAAAAGGUUUGAGAAAGUAAGAGUGCAAAAAUAAUUACUUGGCCAAUACCGGGGUUGUGCGUGAUUUAAAUUAGUUGUGUGGGGACGAUGGAGCAUAGCCAGACUAUUUGAUUUUGUAGGGAUAAUUUUCUUUGGCCUUGUUAUUUCGAAAGUUCAUGAUUACCUUGCUAGUUUGCUUGAAGUAUUAUUGUAUUCAUGUCAAUAGAAAACUAUUGUUUUGAAUCUUACGGAUCUGAACAUUCAUGUCACAUGAAAGAAGUUACAAAGGACAAAUAUGCUAGGUAGCAUUCCACAUCAAAAAUCCAGUCUUUAUCACUUCCCUACUCGAGGACGAGCAAGAGUUAAGCUUGGGGAUGCUUGAUACGUCUCCAACGUAUCUAUAAUUUUUGAUGGUUCCAUGCUAUUAUCUUGUCAAACUUUGGAUGUUUUGUAUGCCUUUUAUAUCUUUUUUGGGACUAACUUAUUAACUCAGUGCCAAGUGUGAGUUCUUGUUUUUUCCGUGUUUUUGACCCUUUUGAGAGGAGAAUAUUAAACAGAGCCAAACAGAAUAAAACCUCCGAAAAGAAUUUUUUUCCGGAACAGAAGAUACGCACGGAGCUAGCUUGAGAACCAAGGCAGAGGGCACAAGGGGAGACCACAAGCCCCCUAGGCGCAGCCGUGCCUAGCAGGCUUGUGGGCCCACGGGGGGGGGGGGGGGGUCUUUCGCCUAUAAAUCCCCGAAAAAUCGAAAACCACAGGAGAGAUCCACGAAAAUAAUUUUCCGCUGCCGCAAGCUUCUGUCUCCGCAAGAUCCCAUCUGGGGCACGUUCUGGUGCCCUGCCGGAGGGGGGAUUCGGAUAUGGAGGGCUUCUUCAACAAGACCAUUGCCUCUCCGAUGAUGUGUGAGUAGUUCACCAUAGACCUUCGGGUCCAUAGCUAGUAGCUAGAUGGCUUCUACUCUCUCUUGGAUCUUCAAUACAAAGUUCUCCAUGGUCUUCAUGAAGAUCUAUCCAAUGUAAUCUUCUUUUGCGGUGUGUUUGUCGAGAUCCGAUGAAUUGUGGAUUUAUGAUCAGAUUAUCUAUGAAUCUUAUUUGAGUUUCUUCUGAUCUCUUAUAUGCAUGAUUUCAUAUCCUUGUAAUUCUCUUCGAGCAUGUGGGUUUUGUUUGGCCAACUUGAUCUAUGAUUCUUGCAAUGGGAGAAGUGCUUGGUUUUGGGUUCGUACCGUGCGGUGACCCCACUCAGUGACAGAAGGGGUAGCGAGGCACGCAUCAUGUUGUUGCCAUAAAGGGUAAAAAGAUGGUUUAUAUCUAUUGCAUUAAUUUAUCCCUCUACAUCAUGUCAUCUUGCUUAAGGCGUUACUCUGUUUGUCAUGAACUCAAUACACUAGAUGCAUGCUGGAUAGCGGUCGAUGUGUGGAGUAAUAGUAGUAGAUAGAGAAAGUAUCGGUCUAUUUGUAUCGAACGUGAUGCCUAUAUGUAUGAUCAUUGCCUUAGAUAUCGUCAUGACUUUACGCGGUUCUAUCAAUUGCUCGACAGUAAUUCGUUCACCCACCGUAAUAUUUUCUAUUUUGAGAGAAGCCUCUAGUGAACACUAUGGCCCCCGGGUCUACUUCACGUCAUAUUUCCAGCCCUACACUUUUACUCUGUUGCACUUUCCGCCUUCAGAUCUCACCUUGCAAUCAAUCGUGAAGGGAUUGACAACCCCUUGGUAGCGUUGGGUGCAAGUUUGCUGUUUUCGCGCAAGUACAUUGGUGCCUCAUCUUGAUACUCCUACUGGAUUGAUACCUUGGUUCUCAAACUGAGGGAAAUACUUACUGCUACUGUGUUGCAUCACCCUUUCCUCUUCAAGGGAAAAAACCAACGCAAGCUCAAGAGGUAGCAGACCCCACAGGAGACUCAGACAAAUGAUGAAGGGCCAAGGCCCGACGUGCACCCUCGCAUAAGGCGACUCAUAGAGAGGCCAGGAGGGGCGACUCACAAGAGAAUGCCCAAGAAGAGGAAAGACUCCCACAAGAAGGAAACAAGACCUGGAUUAGGAUUCAAGAGAGACUAGUCCUAUUCCUACUCCUAGUAGGACUCUACAUGUAAAACUACCCCUUCCACCUAUAUAAGGAGGGGUAAGGCGCCCCAAGAGGGAAAAAGAAGAUACAUAACUUAGGUCUAGACAAGACAAAUCAUGAGAUAGACAGAUUAGACACCCACGAGAUUAGAGGUGCGAGUCUGCACCCUUGUAAUCGAGAUCAUCAUCUUCAUCAAUGGAACACAAGCAGGACGUAGGCUUUUACCUCCAUCGGAGGGGCCGAACCUGGGUAAACUCGCGUCUCUCGAUUCCGACCAACCCCUCUCAAGCCGCCACAUGGUUGCGAUGGCCUCACACCUAAAGUCCUUGCACGUGGACAUCUACCGUGACAAAACCACGACACGGACUGUGCACCGUUGCGUCAAUUCGUCGUUUCGAGACACCACAUGAUGAUCAGGUGUAAUAGACUCAACGUUCACAUACAAUGGGUGCAAAACACUUGCACACGCGGAACACUCAGGUUAAUCUUGACGAGCCUAGCAUGUAUAGACAUGGCCUCGGAACACAGGAUACCGAAAGGUCGAGCAUGACUCUUAUAGUGGAUAUGAUCAACAUGGAGAUGUUCGCCAUUGAAGCUAAACUCAACUCACCUGAUGAUGGAACUUGAGUUAGUGAAUUUGGAUCAUGUACCACUCGAAUGACUAGAGCGAUACCAAUUUGAGUGGGAUUCUUAAGUAAUAUGAUUAAUUGAACUCAUUAUCAUGAACAUAGUUAUUUGCAAAUUAUGUUGUAGCUUGCACUGUAGCUCUACUGUUUUUGAUAUCUUCCUAGAGAAAACUUAGUUGAAAGAUGAUAGUAGCAAUUAUGCGGACUAGAUCCGUAAACCGAGGAUUGUCCUCAUUGCUGCGCAGAAGGCUUAUGUCCUUAAUGCAUCGCUCGGUGUGCUGAACCCUGAGCGUCGUUUGUGGAUGUUACGAACAUCUGACAUACACGUUUUUGAUGACUGCGUAAUAGUUGAGUGUGUAAUGCUUAACGACUUAGAAUUGGGCGCCGAAGACGUUUUGAACGUCACAGAACAUAUGAGAUGUUCCAAAAGCUAACAUUGGGAUUUCAGGUAUGUGCCCGUGUUGAGAGGUAUGAGACCUCCGACAAGAUUCUUGGCCUGCGAAGUAAGGGAGUAAAGCUCAAUCGUUGAGAAAUUGCUCAGAUUGUCUGAGUAGUACAAUCGCUUGAAUCGAGUGGGAGUUGAUCUUCCAGAUAAGAUAAUGAUUGACAUAUUUCUCCAAAGUCACUACCACCAAGCUACAGAGCUUCAUGAUGAACUAUAACAUAUAAGGAGUUGAUAUGAUGAUACUUGAGCUAUUCGCGAUGUUUGACACCCGAAAGUAGAAAUCAAGUAGGAGCAUCAAUUGUGAUGGUUAGUACAACCACUAGUUUCAAGAAGGGCAAGGGCAAGAAGGAAUACUUCAUGAAACGACAAACCUGUUGCUGCUCUAGGGAAGAAACCCAAGGUUGAACCCAAACCCGAGACUAAGUGCUUCUGUUAUGAGGGGAACGGUCACUGAAGCGGAACUACCCUAGAUACUUGGUAGAUGAGAAGGCUGGCAAAGUCGACAAAGUAUAUUGGAUAUACGUGAUAUUGAUGUGUACCUUACUAGUACUCCUAGUAGCACCAAGGUAUUAGAUAUCGGUUCAGUUGGUAAGUGUUAGUAACUCGAAAUUAUAGCUAUGGAUUAAAAGGAUACUAGUAAGGGUGAGGUGACGGUGUGGGUUGGAAGUAAUUCGAAGGUUGACGUGAUCAACAUCACACGCUCCCUCUACCUUCGGGAUUAGUGUUAAACCUAAAUAUUGACUGAUGUUUGUGUUGAGCGCGAACAUGGUUGGAUCAUGUUUAUUGCAAUACAAUUAUUCAUUUAAAGAGAAUAAUGGUUACUCUGCUUACUUGAAUAAAACCUUCAAUGGUCAUGCAGCUAAUAUGAAUGGUUUAUUGAAUCUCGAUCAUAGUGAUACACAUGUUCAUUGUUGCCAAAAGAUACAAAGUAGUAAUGAUAGCACCAGUUACUUGUGGCACUGCCGCUUGAGUCAUAUUGGGAUAAAACGCAUGAAGAAGCUCAAUGUUGAUGGAUCUUUGGACUCACUCGUUUUUGAAUCGUUUGAGACGUGCGAACCAUGCCUAUUGGUGUAAACGCAUGAAGAAACUCCAUGCAGAUGGAUUGUUUAGACUCACUUGAUUUUGAAUCACUUGAGACAUGAAAAUCAUGCCACUCGGGCAAGAUGACAGAAGGCCCCGUCUUCCAGUGAGAUGGAACAAGAAAGUAACUUAUUGGACGUAAUACAUUUUUUAUGUAUGCAUUCCAAUGAGUGCGGAGGCACGCAGUGGAUAUCAUUAUGUACUUACUUCACACAUGAUUUGAGUAGAUACUAGUAUGUUUACUUCAUGAAACACAAGUCUGUAUUAUUGAAAGGUUCAAGUAAUUUUAGAGUGAAGUUGAAAAUCACCGUGACAAGAGGAUGAAAUGUCUACGAUAUGAUUGUAGAGAUGAAUUUCUGAGUUGCGAGUUUGGUACACAUUUAAGACAAUGUGGAAAUAGUUUCACAACUCAUGCCACCUGGAACACCAUUGUGUGAUGGUGUGUACGAACGUCGUAGCUGCACCCUAUUGGAUAUGGUGCAUACUAUGAUGUCUCUUAUUGAAUUACCUCUAUUUUUUUUGGGUUAGGCAUUAGAGAAAACCGCAUUCACUUUAAAUAGGGCACCACGUAAUUCCUUCGAGAUGACACCGUAUGAACUAUGGUUUAGAGAAACCUAAGUUGUCUUUUCUUAAAAGUUUGGGGUUGCGACGCUUAUGUGAAAAAAUUUCAACCUGAUAAGCUCGAACCCAAAGCGGAUAAAUUAAUGCAUCUUCAUAGGACACCCAAAAACUAGGGUAUACCUCCUAUCUCAGAUCCGGAAGCAAAUUGUUUGUUUCUAGAAACGGGUCCUUUCUCGAGAAAAGGUUUCUCUCAAAAGAAUUGAGUGGGAGGAUGGUGGAACCUGAUGAGGUUACUGAACCGUCACUUCAACCAGUGUGCAGAAGGGCGUAGGAGGUUGUUCCUGUGGUGCCUACACCAAUUGAAGUGGAAAUCUCAUGAUGGUGAUCAUGAAGCUUCAGAUCAAGUUACUACCAAACCUCGUAGGUCGACAAGGAAACGUCCUGCUCUAGAGUGGUACGAUAAUCCUAUCUUGGAGGUCAUGUUUCUGGAUAACAAUGAACCUAUGAGCUAUGGAGAAGCGAUGGUGGGCCUGGAUUCCAACGAAUGGCCGAAGGUCAUGAAAUCUGAGGGAGGAUAUAUGUGUGAAAACAAAGUGUAGACUAUGGAAGAACUACUUGAUGGUCAUAAGGCUGUUGGGUACAGAUGGAUUUUUAGAAGGAAGACAGACGAUGAUGGUAAGUGUCACCAUUAAGAAAGCUCGACUUGUCGCAAAGAUGUUUCCGACAAGUUCAAGGAGUUGAUUAUGAUGAGACUUUGUCACUCGUAGCGAUGCUAAGAGUCUUUUGGAAUUAUGUUAGCAGUUGGUGCAUUAUUUAUGAAAUCUUGCAAUAAGGAUGUCAAAAUAUUGUUUCCUUGAUGGUUUACUUGAGGAAAGGUUGUAUGUGAUACAACUAGAAGGGUUUUGUCAAUCCUAAGGAUGCUAACAAGUAUGCAAGCUUCAGCGAUCCUUCUAUGGACUGGAGCAAGCAUCUCGGAGUUGAAAUAUACACUUUGACGAGAUGAUCAAAACUUUUGGGUUUCUACAAGGUUUAUGACAAACUUGUAUUUCCAAGAAAGUGAGUGGGAGCACUAUAGUAUUUCUGAUGAGUAUAUGUAGUUGACAUAUUAUUGAUCGGAAAUGAUGUAGAAUUUCUGAAAAGCAUAUAGGGUUGUUUGAAAAGUGUUUUUCAAAGAAAAACCUGAAUUGAGCUACUUGAACAUUGAGCAUCCAGAUCUAUAGAGAUAGAUCAAAACGCUUAAUAGAACUUUCAAAUGAAUACAUACCGUGACAAGAUUUUUAAGGAGUUCAAAAUAGAUCAGCCAAAGAAGGAGUUAUUGACUGUAUUGUAAGUUGUGUAUUUGAGUAAGAAUCAAAACCCGACCACGACAGAAGAAAGAGAAAGGACGAAGGUCGUCCCUAUGCCUUAGCCGUAUGCUCUAAAGUAUGCCAUGCUGUGUAUAGCAUCUGAAGUGUGCCUUGCCAUGAGUAAGUCAAGGGGUACAAGAGUGAUCCAGGAAUGGAUCACUAGACAACGGUCAAAGUUAUCCUUAGUAACUUGUGGACUAAGGAAUUUUUCUCAAUUAUGGAGGUGGUAAAAGAGUUCGUCAUAAAGGGUUAUGUCGAUGCAAGCUUUGACACUAAUCCGAAUGACUCUCAGUAGUAAAUCAGAUUCGUACAGUGGAGCAGUCAUUUGGAAUAGUUCCAAAUGGCGCGUGGUAGCAGCAUCUAUAGGUUGAAAUAGAGAUUUAUAAAGCACACACGGAUCUAAAAGGUUCAGACCCUUGACUAAAAAGCUCUCUCACAAGAAAGACAUGAUCAAACCCCACUGUAUGGGUGUUUGUUUCGUUGCAAUCACAUUGUGGUGUGAACUAGAUUAUUGACUCUAGUGCAAGUGGGAGAUUAUUGGAAAUAUGUCCUAGAGGCAAUAAUAAAUUAGUUAUUAUUAUAUUUCCUUGUUCAUGUUAGUUGUUUAUUAUCCAUGCUAGAAUUGUAUUGAAUGAGAACUCAAAUACAUGUGUGGAUACAUAGACAAAACACUGUCCCUAGUGAGCCUCUAGUUGAUUAGCUCGUUGAUCAAAGAUGGUCAAGGUUUCCUGGACAUAUACAUGAGCUGUCGUUUGAUAACGGGAUCACAUCAUUAGGAGAAUGAUGUGAUGGACAAGACCCAAACUACAAAUGUAGCAUAUGAUCAUGUCAGUUUAUUGCUACUGUUUUCUCCAUGUCAAUGUAUGUGUUCCUAUGACCACUAGAAGAAAUAUGUCAACUAACGACCUUCUCUCACUGACACUCGCAGAAUUGGUCGUAAAUCUACGACCAUUUGAGACCAAUUGGUCGUAAGCUGUCCCGAGGGGUCCUAACCCCGAAAACUAACGACCUUUUUCAUCAGAAAGGUCGUAACUUCCUUAAUGGAAAAGGUUGUAAAGCAGAUAGCCCUGUUUCGCUGCCUAAUUUGUAGCUAGUUACGACCAAUAUAGAUGGUCAUAGCUAUGACUAGGUGCCACAUCAUCAGUUUUGCCUACGUGUCGUGUUCAUGUGUUAUUUUUUGCCUAGUUUGUGAAGCAACCUACUAUUCUGUCAUUCCAAAAAUUCUCGAAAAAUUCUCAUAAAUACUUUGGAUCAUAUAUUUCUCAAAUAUGUGAAAACCCUUCCUUCCAUAGUUCGAAAGUAAUUCAGCAAUAUUCAUUUUCCUAUUCUGUUCAGAAUAGCACUUUGUGAAGGAAGUGUUAUUUCUAUUUCUUUGAUGACCCUCAAAUUUUUUGGGCACUCUUUCCUAUCCAAAUCAUUGCCUCAUGAAAACUUUGGUAACCAUUUUCCUAGUAAAUCUUUCUCAGCAAAUUUCCAAAGUUUGUGUUCAACUAACAACUUUGUGAAGGAAGUACUAGAUAGGAAUAUCCUGAUGAGUUGAAUUUUUUUCCACAUCUUCUAUGUGCCCAAAACAUAGCUCUCCACAAAUUUUAGCCCCAUCUAACAAUCCAUGUGAGCCCAGUUUCAGUUACCAUGUUUUGUCCAGAUUGACACAUUGUGAAGGAAGUGUCACUUUGGCAUGUCCAAAUGGUAUAAUUUUUUUACAGUGCCUUCAUAUGCCCUAAUUAACAUCAUACACCAAAUUUCAUCUCAAUCCAUUGAUUCAUUUGAUCCCAGCUUCAACAUCCAUAUUUCUGCACAGUGUGGUACUUUGCAAAGCAAGUGUCACCUAGGUUCGUCCAUAUGAGCUAAAAUUUUGGCAAGAGAGUCUCCUUAGUAGAUGAUCGUCCUCAGCCAAAAUUUAGGCCCAUUGUCUAUGUGCAUUACCCGCACCGCUAAUCAAACACUUGGCUGCUAAUUCAUGUUUCAGCUUACUUCGGUCUCCUCGUGAGAUUCUUCUAUCGUAUUCUUCUUCCUGACACCUAUCGAGGUACUUUCCAACAAACCAUACAUGCCUAUUCCACCCAGAACGCGUGAUAACGCAACGGUCAGGCGGUGACCAUGCGACUGGCAUGCAAGUUCACGCGCUCUGGAGUUGGGGCCCUCGGCCACCAUCCAAACCUCGACGUCAAGCCACCACACCAUGUAUUUUUGAUUAAAUAGAUACUUAUGUACCUAUAAAUGAUUUUUGAGAAAAAUAAAGAGCAAACUAUGAGGCACCUCUAGUUCAAAUUUGACCCGCUUCCUACUGAAUCGACGGCAAUUUAUCUUUCUCACUAGAGGUGGGUAAAAGAUUUUAACACCCAACCAUUUUGUUAAUUGUACAUUAAAUAUGGCCUAGUAUUUUAUAAAAAUGAUUUGGUCCAAUUUUGAAACAAAUAUAUCAUAGGUCAUUCACAAAAAAACUCAUUUUGGGCACUUGAGAAAUGGAAAAUGAAUUUUUCAUACAAGGAAAAUGAAAACUUCCUUAAUUAACAUUGUUUGCCAUUCCAAUAUACAGCCUUGUGCAUAAUAUUAGCUCAUUUCAACAAACUAUGCCAUGAAUGUGGUCAUAAGAUUGAUCAUUUGGCUCGAAAGCCAUGAAUCUUCACAUAUGAUGGCUCAUUUCUAAGAACACUUUUUUGAAAUAAUUACCGUCUUACAAGUUUAUUCUUUUUCCUGGUAACUUGGUCACAUAUUAUGACACAAGCGAAGGUUUUGCAUUUUUUUGAUUUUUUUUUAAUUUGUUAUGCCCGUUUUAAAAUGCGGUCGAAACGACGGGCAUGACCGUUCAUAGCUAGGGGUUGAAUCUUGACAAUUUUUUGUUGGAUCUCCGAUUAAAUAGAUACUUCUUCACUUAAAAAUGAUUUUUUGGAAAAAACAUGACAAAACUAUGAGGCACCUCUAGUUUAAAUUUAACCCGCUUCCUACUAAAUCAGUGGCAAUUUGUCUUUUUCACUAGAGGUGGAUAAAAGAUUUUUGACACACAACCAUUUUGUCAAUUAUACAUUAAAUAUGGCCUAAUAUUUUAUAAAAAUGAUUUGGUCCAAUUUUGAAACAAAUAUAUGAUAGGUCCUUCACAAAAAAACUCAUUUUGGGCACUUGAAAAAUGGAAAAUGAAUUUUUAAUACAAGGAAAAUGAAAACUUUCUUAAUCAACAUUGUUUGCCAUUCCAAUAUGCAGUCUUGUGCAUAAUAUUAGCUCAUUUCAACAAACUAUGCCAUGAAUGUGGUCAUAAGAUUGAUCAUUUGGCUCGAAAACCAUGAAUCUUCACACUUGAUGACUCAUUUGUAAGAACACUUUUUUGAAAUAAUUAACGUAUUACAAGUUUAUUAUUUUUCCUCGUAACUUGGUCACAUAUUAUGACUCAACGCGAAGGGUUUUGCAUUUUUGUGAUUUUUUUAAUUUGUUAUGCCCGUUUCAAAAUGCGAUCGAAACGACGGGCAUGACCGUUCAUAGCUAGGGGUUGAAUCUUGCCAAUUUUUUGUUGUAUCUCUGAUUAAAUAGAUACUUCUUUACAUAAAAAUGAUUUUUCGAAAAAAUCAUAAGAAAACUAUGAGGCACCUCUAGUUCAAAUUUAACCCGCUUCCUACUAAAUCAGCGGCAAUUUGUCUUUUUCAAGAAUCCCCUGGAGCUCAACUCCCCGGAAGAAAAUCAAAUCAGACAGGAGGCACCAAGACAGAAGUCCGUCACAUCGGCAUCAUAUAGAUCCCAAAAAUAUCCGCGUGAUCCUAAAAAAAAUUUGAGUGAGAAGAGGAGUAGAAUUAAAAUAUUACGUCAAGAUUCCUCACCAGAGCAUAGAAGAGGAGAAAAAAGAAUCCUACUCUCUGAUAUAUAACUAGACUCAAAGUAGUUUUUCACUAGACUCGACUCGGCCAAGUUCGAUCAAUCAAGGGGGCUCCUAGGUCGGUACUGCUCUCAUACCAACUUGUCACGCCCAAGAUGCGACCCUAUCCUCAAUUUGGCACGAGGGCCUCGUCAGGGAUAGAAGCGCAUCUCGUCGUGUCGCAAGAAUGGAUAUCGUUACAAGUACAUGUCCUAAAAAGAAGAGAUAUAUAUAUAUAUAGAAUUGGCUUACACUCGCCACAAGCUACAUGAGAGUCACAUCAGUACAUUACAUAAUCAUCAGGAGUAAGAGCAGGGUCCGACUACGGACGAAAACAAACGAUAAAAGAAGAACAACGCCCAUCCUUGAUAUCCCAAGCUGCUGGCCUGGAACCCAUCCUAGACNNNNNNNNNNNNNNNNNNNNNNAGGAGAAGAAGAAGCAACUCCAAAUGAACAAUCAACGCGCUCGCGUCAAGUAACCUUUACCUGUACGUGCAACUAGUGUUGUAGUAAUCUGUGAGCCACAGGGGACUCAGCAAUCUCAUUUCCAAAGGUUUCAAGACUAGCAAAGCUUAUUAGGUGAGGUAUGGUUAAGUGGUGAGGUUGCAGCAGCGGCUAAGCAUAUAUUUGGUGGCUAAACUUACGAGUACAAGAAAUAAGAGGGGAUGAUCUACGCAUAACGGACGUGAACUACUGAUGAUCAAAUGAAUGAUCCUGAACACCUACCUACGUCAGACAUAACCCCACCAUGUCCUCGAUCGGAGAAGAAACUCACGAAAGAGACAGUCACGGUUACGCACACAGUUGGCAUAUUUUAAUUAAGUUAACUUCAAGUUAUCUAGAACCAGUGUUAAACAAAGUUUCCACGUUGCCACAUAACCGCGGGCAUGGCUUUCCGAAAAAGAUUUAACCCUGAAGGGGUGCUUCACCUAGUCCAUCACAAAUUACCACAAGCCGCAUAGAAAUCCUCAAUCACGAAGCUCGCGAUCUCGUCGGAUUCCUUACUGGAAAACCUCAACUCUGAGAUUACCCAAAGCAUCACCGGAAUCCCGAUGCACAAGAUAUUCCGUCAAAGGUAAAACUAAUCCAGCAAGGCCGCCCGACGUGUCGACGAUCCCCAUAGGAGUCGCGUACCUCGUUCUCAGGACACGACGGAUGGGUCACACUAGGAGAUACCAAACCUCAGGUUGCCCUGCGGUGGCCCCGUAGUCUGCAAUUUGGACCAACACUCAUGAGGAGCACUGGCCCGGGGGUUGAUUAAAUUAUCCUCGGGUUAACUACUCCCUAUGCAGUUCAUUAGUGAUUAGGCAAAUGUAGUACCAAAGUUGGGCCUUGCCAGACCAGCUUUAAUCUAAACAAAUUAUCAAGGGGGUCCCCAUAACAACCCCGAUCAUGUUAGGAGCGCUCAAAUAUGGAACAUAACACCGGUAGCCGAAACUAAGGGGGCAAAGGUGGAACAAAACACCAGGCUAGAAAGGUUGAGCCUUCCACCUUUUACCAAGUGUAUAGGUGCAUUAAAUUAAAUAGCAUUAAAUAGGGUGAUAUAACAAGGAACCCAUGUUAUCACAUGGAAGCAACUGCACCUGCAACUAGCAACGCUAACAAAAGGGUUAGGCAAUCAGUAACAUAGCCAAUCAGUGGUUUGCUAGGUCGAAUAGGUUGAAGGUUUCAUGACAUUGUUGAGAGGCUGAAAUUUAACAUGUGGUAGGCAUCGAGACAUAAACGAUAGAAGCGAUAAAACUAGCAUGACAAUGAUAGUAAUGGUAUCUGGGCAAAUGGUCAUCUUGCCUGAGAUCCCGCUUGGAAGAAGAACAACUCCGAGAAGUCGGCGAACCAACGUAGUCGAACGGGUCCUCACAUUCCGACACGCUUGCGGAACUCUAUCGAGACGGAGCAAACCGGAAACAAACAUCAACACAGAUAUUAACCACACGAUGCACACAUGAUGCACAACCUACUAUGAUGCAUGAUCAGUUCAACAUGCAAGGGAUGGCAUGGCAAUUCACCUCACGCAAACACUACACAUUAAAUGAAGCUCGAUAUGCAACGGGUUGCAUAUCGACGGAACUCCAUGAUUUAUUAUUUAGUUCACUCCCAUUUAUUUACACGACAAUAUUAAUCUGUUCUUAACAUGACAAGGGGUGAAGCGGUGAUCCUACAAGUCAUCCUAGUCGUUCAACAUGCGGAGCAUAGAUCAGAGCUACGGCACAAGAGACAUGCAACACAAGAUAUCAUGCCAUGAAUGUUUCAUACAUGCAAGUUCAACACCGACAAGAAGAGAAAGAAACAAAUGUCGCCACGGCGAGCGAAAGGGGUACUAAGGCGGCAAGACGGAAACGAAGCCACGGCAACGUUCCUAUCCCAAUAACUCGUCGAGAUAUCGUGCCAACGUAUAGGAUGCGUGUGCGGGAACGUUAAAUAAAGAUGGGGUGAUCCCGCUACCGGGUUCCCAUGUGUCGAGGGCGCGUCGAAAGAGAGACAAUGUGCAACGGGCAACAUACGACGCACACAUACAAUACAUCUCAUACAACAUUAGCACACGGUCACGACACGUCCCAACGGUAUACCUUCGAAGCGUGCAUAUCGGCGCUGUUCGAGUCAUAGCGGACGUCGUGGAAGUCGUGGUCGUCGUGGAAGUAGUGGUACUCGGGUCUCGUCGACGGUAGUCGUUCGCUCGGCGUUGGUUCACGGGACUUCCGCGUCGGUAGUCGAACACGGUUCCGGUGGUCGUCGAGGACGUCGUGGUACUCGCCGAACUCGUCGUCGACCCACGACAGGCGGGGAUGGUGCACGCGGCGACGGCACGCGACAUAACAGCAACUACAGCAACUAGCAACGCAGCAAACUACCUACAGCUACUAGCUCUAACAUCUAACAGCAAGCAAGCUAGCAACUAUCUAGCAAUCGGCUCAGCAGGCAAAACGCAAGCAGGCAAAAGCAAGAGCAGCAACAACUACUACGCAACAGCAACUAGCAAACGGCUACUACAACAACUAGCAUCCGGCUAGCAGUAACAGCUAGCAUCACCAGCAGCGAGCAACCAUCAGCAGCAAGAGCAACGGCACGCAAGGCACAGCACAGCAGCAAGCAACCUAGCAGCAAGCAACCUACAUCUAACUAGCAGCUACUAGCUAGCGAAAAGCAACUACGGCAGCGACGACAGCAUCUACAGCAACUAAACGCAAGCAAGCACGCAAGGGCUACGACACAGCAGCACGAACAGCAACAGCAAAAGGCAACGGCACAAGCAAGCAGCAUCACUACCAACAACGCANNNNNNNNNNNNNNNNNNNNNNNNNNNNNNNNNNNNNNNNNNNNNNNNNNNNNNNNNNNNNNNNNNNNNNNNNNNNNNNNNNNNNNNNNNNNNNNNNNNNAAUGGCUAGAAGCCAUGAAAUCCGAGAUAGGAUCCAUGUAUGAGAACAAAGUGUGGACUUUGGAGAUACUGCCUGAGGGCCGCAAGGCUAUUCAGAACAAAUGGAUCUUUAAGAAGAAGAAGGACGCUGACGGUAAUGUGACCGUUUAUAAAGCUCGACUUGUGGCAAAGGGUUUUUCACAAGUUCCAGGAGUUGACUACGAUGAGACUUUCUCACCCGUAGCGAUGCUUAAGUCCGUCAGAAUUAUGUUAGCAAUAGCUGCAUUUUUCGAUUAUGAAAUCUGGCAGAUGGAUGUCAAAACGGCGUUCCUUAACGGUUUCCUUAAGGAAGAGUUGUAUAUGAUGCAACCCGAAGGUUUUGUCGAUCCUAAAAAUGCUGACAAGGUGUGCAAGCUCCAGCGAUCCAUUUAUGGACUGGUGCAAGCAUCUCGGAGUUGGAAUAAACGCUUUGAUGAGGUGAUCAAAGCAUUUGGGUUUAUACAAGUGGUUGGAGAAUCUUGUAUUUACAAGAAGGUGAGUGGGAUCUCUGUGGCGUUUCUAAUAUUAUAUGUGGAUGACAUAUUACUGAUUGGAAACAAUGUAGAGCUUUUGGAGAGCAUAAAAGGUUACUUGAAUAAAAGUUUCUCUAUGAAGGACCUAGGAGAAGCUGCUUACAUGCUAGGCAUUAAGAUCUAUAGGGAUAGAUCAAACCGCCUGAUAGGCCUUUCACAAAGCACAUACCUUGAUAACGUUUUGAAGAGGUUCAAAAUGGAACAGUCCAAGAAAGGGUUCUUGCCAGUGUUACAAGGUACGAGAUUGAGUAAGACUCAGUGCCCAGCAACUGAUGAAGAUAGAGAGCAUAUGCGCUCCGUCCCCUAUGCUUCAGCCAUAGGCUCUAUCAUGUAUGCAAUGCUGUGCACUAGACCGGAUGUUAGCCUGGACAUAAGUAUGGCAGGUAGGUUCCAGAGUAAUCCAGGAGUGGAUCACUGGACGGCGGUCAAGAAUAUCCUGAAGUACCUGAAAAGGACUAAGGAGAUGUUUCUCGUGUAUAGAGGUGACUAAGAGCUCGCCGUAAAAGGUUACGUCGAUGCAAGCUUUGACACAGAUCCGGACGACUCUAAGUCGCAAACCGGAUACGUAUUUAUUCUUAAUGGGGGUGCAGUAAGCUGGUGCAGUUCCAAGCAAAGCGUCGUAGCAGAUUCUACAUGUGAAGCAGAGUACAUGGCUGCCUCGGAGGCGGCUAAGGAGGGUGUCUGGAUGAAGCAGUUCAUGACGGAUCUUGGAGUGGUGCCAAGUGCACUGGAUCCAAUAACAUUGUUCUGUGACAACACUGGUGCCAUUGCUUUAGCAAAGGAACCAAGGUUUCACAAAAAGACCAGACACAUCAAACAACGCUUCAACCUCAUCCGCGACUACGUCGAGGAGGAGGACGUAAAUAUAUGCAAAGUGCACAUGGAUCUGAAUGUAGGAGACCCGCUGACUAAACCUCUUCCACGGCCAAAACAUGAUCGACACCAGAACUGUAUGGGUGUUAGAUUUAUUACAAUGUAAUUCACAUGGUGAUGUGAGGGCUAGAUUAUUGACUCUAGUGCAAGUGGGAGACUGUUGGAAUUAUGCCCUAGAGGCAAUAAUAAAAGUAUAGUUAUUAUUAUAAUUCCUGUAUCAAGAUAAUAGUUUAUUAUCCAUGCUAUAAUUGUAUUGAAUGAAGACUCAUUUACAUGUGUGGAUACAUAGACAAAACACCGUCCCUAGCAUGCCUCUAGUUGGCUAGCCAGUUGAUCGAUGAUAGUCAGUGUCUUCUGAUUAUGAACAAGGUGUUGUUGCUUGAUAACUGGAUCACGUCAUUGGGAGAAUCACGUGAUGGACUAGACCCAAACUAAUAGACGUAGCAUGUUGAUCGUGUCAUUUUGUUGCUAUUGUUUUCUGCGUGUCAAGUAUUUAUUCCUAUGACCAUGAGAUCAUAUAACUCACUGACACCGGAGGAAUGCUUUGUGUGUAUCAAACGUCGCAACGUAACUGGGUGACUAUAAAGAUGCUCUACAGGUAUCUCCGAAGGUGUUAGUUGGGUUAGUAUGGAUCAAGACUGGGAUUUGUCACUCCGUAUGAUGGAGAGGUAUCUCGGGGCCCACUCGGUAAUACAACAUCACACACAAGCCUUGCAAGCAAUGUAACUUAGUGUAAGUUGCGGGAUCUUGUAUUACGGAACGAGUAAAGAGACUUGCCGGUAAACGAGAUUGAAAUAGGUAUGCGGAUACUGACGAUCGAAUCUCGGGCAAGUAACAUACCGAAGGACAAAGGGAAUGACAUACGGGAUUAUACGAAUCCUUGGCACUGAGGUUCAAACGAUAAGAUCUUCGUAGAAUAUGUAGGAUCCAAUAUGGGCAUCCAGGUCCCGCUAUUGGAUAUUGACCGAGGAGUCUCUCGGGUCAUGUCUACAUAGUUCUCGAACCCGCAGGGUCUGCACACUUAAGGUUCGACGUUGUUUUAUGCGUAUUUGAGUUAUAUGGUUGGUUACCGAAUGUUGUUCGGAGUCCCGGAUGAGAUCACGGACGUCACGAGGGUUUCCGGAAUGGUCCGGAAACGAAGAUUGAUAUAUAGGAUGACCUCAUUUGAUUACCGGAAGGUUUUCGGAGUUACCGGGAAUGUACCGGGAAUGACGAAUGGGUUCCGGGAGUUCACCGGAGGGGGGCAACCCACUCCGGGGAAGCCCAUAGGCAUUUGGGGGGUCACACCAGCCCUUAGUGGGCUGGUGGGACAGCCCACCAAUGCCCUAUGCGCCAAGAGAGAAAAAAUCAAAGGAAAGAGAAAAAAAAAGGAAGAAGUGGGAAGGGGGAAGGACUCCCUCCCACCAAACCAAGUAGGACUCGGUUUGGGGGGGGAGAGUCCUCCCCCCUGGCUCGGCCGACCCCUUGGGAGUCCCUUGGACCCCAAGGCAAGGUCCCCCUCCCUCCUCCUAUAUAUAUGGGGCUUUUAGGGCAGAUUUGAGACGACUUUCUCACGGCUGCCCGACCACAUACCUCCAUAGUUUUUCCUCUAGAUCGCGUUUCUGCGGAGCUCGGGCGGAGCCCUGCUGAGACGAGAUCAUCACCAACCUCCGGAGCGCCGUCACGCUGCCGGAGAACUCUUCUACCUCUCCGUCUCUCUUGCUGGAUCAAGAAGGCCGAGAUCAUCGUCGAGCUGUACGUGUGCUGAACGCGGAGGUGCCGUCCGUUCGGUACUAGAUCGUGGGACUGAUCGCGGGAUUGUUCGCGGGGCGGAUCGAGGGACGUGAGGACGUUCCACUACAUCAACCGCGUUCUCUAACGCUUCUGCUGUACGAUCUACAAGGGUACGUAGAUCACUCAUCCCCUCUCGUAGAUGGACAUCACCAUGAUAGGUCUUCGUGCGCGUAGGAAAAUUUUUGUUUCCCAUGCGACGUUCCCCAACAGUGGCAUCAUGAGCUAGGUUCAUGCGUAGAUGUCUUCUCGAGUAGAACACAAAAGGUUUUGUGGGCGGUGAUGUGCGUUUUGCUGCCCUCCUUAGUCUUUUCUUGAUUCCACGGUAUUGUUGGAUUGAAGCGGCUUGGACCGACAUUACUCGUACGCUUACGAGAGACUGGUUUCAUCGUUACGAGUAACCCCCUUUGCUCAAAGAUGACUGGCAAGUGUCGGUUUCUCCAACUUUAGUUGAAUCGGAUUUGACCGAGGAGGUCCUUGGAUGAGGUUAAAUAGCAACUCAUAUAUCUCCGUUGUGGUGUUUGCGUAAGUAAGAUGCGAUCCUACUAGAUACCCUUGGUCACCACGUAAAACAUGCAACAACAAAAUUAGAGGACGUCUAACUUGUUUUUGCAGGGUAUGAUUGUGAUGUGAUAUGACCAAUGAUGUGAUGUGAUAUAUUGGAUGUAUGAGAUGAUCAUGUUGUAAUAGAAAUAUCGACUUGCACGUCGAUGGUACGGCAACCGGCAGGAGCCAUAGGGUUGUCUUUAUACUAACAUAUGUGCUUGCAGAUGCGUUUACUAUUUUGCUAGGAUGUAGCUUUAGUAGUGAUAGCAUGAGUAGCACGACAACCACGAUGGCAACACGUUGAUGGAUGAUCAUGGUGUGGCGCCGGUGACAAGAAGAUCGUGCCGGUGCUUUGGUGAUGGAGAUCAAGAAGCACGAGAUGAUGGCCAUAUCAUGUCACUUAUGAAUUGCAUGUGAUGUUAAUCCUUUUAUGCACCUUAUUUUUCUUAGAACGACGGUAGCAUUAUGAGGUGAUCUCUCACUAAAAUUUCAAGACGAAAUUGUGUUCUCCCCGACUGUGCACCGUUGCUACAGUUCGUCGUUUCGAGACACCACGUGAUGAUCGGGUGUGAUAGACUCAACUUCACAUACAACGGGUGCAAAACAGUUGCGCACGCGGAACACUCGGGUUAAGCUUGACGAGCCUAGCAUGUGCAGACAUGGCCUCGGAACACAUGAGACCGAAAGGUCGAUCAUGAAUCAUAUAGUUGAUAUGAUUAGCAUAGGAAUGCUUACCACUGAAACUAUACUCAACUCACGUGAUGAUCGGACUUGGGAUAGUAUAAGUGGAUCAUGAAGCACUCAAAUGACUAGAGAGAUGUAAUUUUUGAGUGGGAGUUGAGCAAAUAAUUUGAUUAAGUUGAACUCUAAUUGUCUUGAACAUAGUCUAAGUCCACUUUGAAUAUAUUUGUGUUGUAGAUCAUGGCUCACGCAAGUGUCAUCCUGAAUUUUAAUACGUUCCUAGAGAAAGCUAAGUUGAAAGAUGAUGGAAGCAACUUUGUAGACUGGGCUCGUAAUCUUAAGCUAAUCUUACAAGCUGGAAAGAAGGAUUAUGUCCUUAAUGCUGCGCUAGGAGAUGAACCACCCGCUACGGCUGAUCAGGAUGUUAAGAACGCUUGGUUAGCACGUAAGGAGGACUACUCAGUAGUUCAAUGUGCAGUCUUGUAUGGCUUAGAACCGGGACUUCAACGUCGCUUUGAGCAUCAUGGAGCAUUUGAGAUGUUCCAGGAGUUGAAGUUUAUCUUUCAGAAGAAUGCCCGGAUCGAGAGAUAUGAGACCUCCGAUAAAUUCUAUGCUUGCAAGAUGGAGGAGAACUCGUCUGUCAGUGAACAUGUGCUCAAAAUGUCUGGGUACUCAAACCGUCUAACUGACUUGGGGAUUGAACUCCCGCAAGAAGCUAUCACUAACAGAAUCCUUCAAUCACUGUCGCCAAGCUAUAAAGGCUUUGUGUUGAACUACAACAUGCAAGGUAUGAACAAGUCUCCCGGCGAGUUGUUUGCCAUGCUAAAAGUCGUAGAGUCUGAACUCCGUAAAGAGCAUCAAGUGUUGAUGGUGAAUAAGACCACUAGUUUCAAGAGAAACGGCAAAGGCAAGAGGGGUAAUUCAAAGAAGAGCGGCAAGCCUGUUGCCAAUCCGACGAAGAAACCCAAAGCUGGACCUAAGCAUGAAACAGAGUGUUGCUAUUGCAAGGGCAUGGGUCACUGGAAGCGCAACUGCCCCAAGUAUCUGGCUGAUAAGAAGGCGGCCAAAGAAAAAUCAGGUAUAUUUGAUAUACAUGUUAUUGAUGUGUACUUAACCGGCUCUCGUAGUACUGCGUGGGUAUUCGAUACCGGUUCUGUUGCUCAUAUUUGCAACUCAAAACAGGAACUGCGGAAUAGACGAAGGCUGGCGAAAGAUGAAGUGAUGAUGCGCGUAGGAAAUGGUUCCAAGGUUGAUGCAAUCGCCGUCGGCACAGUUUCACUUUAGUUACCAUAAGGAUUAGUUAUGAACUUGAAUCAUUGUUAUUUAGUGCAUGCGUUGAGCAUGAACAUUAUAUCUGGAUCUUGUUUAUUGCGAGACGGUUACUCUUUGAAGUCAGAGAAUAAUGGUUGUUCUAUUUCUAUGAGUAACAUCUUUUAUGGUCAUGCACCCAAUGUGAGAGGAUUUUUCAUAUUGAAUCUUGAUAGUGAUACACACACACAUAACAUUGAGACCAAAAGAGUUAGAGUUAACAAUGAUAGCGCCAUAUUUUUGUGGCACUGCCGCUUAGGUCAUAUUGGUGUAAAGCGCAUGAAGAAACUCCAUGCCGAUGGACUUUUGGAGUCACUUGACUUUGAUUCACUUGACACGUGCGAACCAUUCCUCAUGGGAAAGAUGACUAAAACUCCGUUCUCCGGAACAAUGGAGCGUGCAAGUGACUUGUUGGAAAUCAUACAUACCGAUGUGUGUGGUCCGAUGAGCGUAGAGGCACGCGGCGGAUAUCGUUAUUUUCUCACCUUCACUGACGAUUUGAGUAGAUAUGGUUAUGUCUACUUAAUGAAGCACAAGUCUGAAACAUUUGAAAAGUUCAAGCAAUUUCAGAGUGAAGUUGAAAAUCAUCGUAACAAGAAGAUCAAGUUCCUACUGUCUGAUCGUGGGGGUGAAUAUCUGAGUUUCGAGUUUGGUGCUCACUUAAGACAAUGUGGAAUUGUUUCACAGUUGACACCGCCUGGAACACCACAGCGUAAUGGUGUGUCCGAACAUCGUAAUCGUACUUUAUUAGAGAUGGUGCGAUCUAUGAUGUCUCUUACCGAUUUGCCGUUAUCAUUUUGGGGUUAUGCAUUAGAAACAGCUGCAUUCACUUUAAAUAGGGCACCAUCAAAAUCCGUUGAGACGACACCAUACGAACUGUGGUAUGGCAAAAGGCUAAAGUUGUCGUUUCUUAAAGUUUGGGGAUGUGAUGCUUAUGUCAAAAAGCUUCAGCCUGAAAAGUUGGAACCCAAAGCGGAAAAGUGCAUCUUAAUAGGUUACCCAAAAGAGACAGUUGGGUACACCUUCUAUCUCAAAUCCGAGGGCAAAGUGUUUGUUGCUAAAAAUGGAGCUUUUCUUGAGAAGGAGUUUCUCUCGAGAGAAUUGAGUGGGAGGAAGAUAGAACUUGACGAGGUUGUCGAACCUCGCAUCCCUCUGGAUGGUGGUGCAGGGCAAGGGGAAACCUCUGUCGUUGCGACGCCGGUUGAGGAGGAAGUUAAUGAUGAUGAUCAUGAAACUCUGGUUCAAGUUUCUGUCGAACCACGCAGGUCGACGAGACCACGUGCUGCUCCAGAGUGGUACGGUAAUCCCGUCUUAUCAAUCAUGUUGUUAGACAACAAUGAACCUGCAAAUUAUGAAGAAGCAAUGGUGGGCCCAGAUUCCAACAAAUGGCUAGAAGCCAUGAAGUCCGAGAUAGGAUCCAUGUAUGAGAACAAAGUGUGGACUUUGGAAGUACUGCCUGAGGGCCGCAAGGCUAUUAAGAACAAAUGGAUCUUUAAGAGGAAGAUGGAUGCUAACGGCAAUGUGACCGUUUAUAAAGCUCGACUUGUGGCAAAGGGUUUUUCACAAGUUCAAGGAGUUGACUAUGAUGAGACAUUCUCACCCGUAGCGAUGCUUAAGUCCGUCAGAAUCAUGUUAGCAAUAGCUGCAUUUUUUGAUUAUGAAAUCUAGCAGAUGGAUGUCAAAACGGCGUUCCUUAACGGUUUCCUUAAGGAAGAGUUGUAUAUGAUGCAACCCGAAGGUUUUAUCGAUCCUAAGAAUGCUAACAAGGUGUGCAAGCUCCAGCGAUCCAUUUAUGGACUGGUGCAAGCAUCUCGGAGUUGGAACAAACGCUUUGAUGAGGUGAUCAAAGCAUUUGGGUUUAUACAAGUGGUUGGAGAAUCUUGUAUUUACAAGAAAGUGAGUGGGAGCUCUGUGGCGUUUCUAAUAUUAUAUGUGGAUGACAUAUUACUGAUUGGAAACAACGUAGAGCUUUUGGAGAGCAUAAAAGGUUACUUGAAUAAAAGUUUCUCUAUGAAGGACCUAGGAGAAGCUGCUUACAUUCUAGGCAUUAAGAUCUAUAGGGAUAGAUCAAAACGCCUGAUAGGACUUUCACAAAGCACAUACCUUGAUAAAGUUUUGAAGAGGUUCAAAAUGGAACAGUCCAAGAAAGGGUUCUUGCCAGUGUUACAAGGUACGAGAUUGAGUAAGACUCAGUACCCAGCAACUGAUGAAGAUAGAGAGCAUAUGCGCUCCGUCCCCUAUGCUUCAGCCAUAGGCUCUAUCAUGUAUGCAAUGCUGUGCACUAGACCGGAUGUUAGCCUGGCCAUAAGUAUGGCAGGUAGGUUCCAGAGUAAUCCAGGAGUGGAUCACUGGACGGCGGUCAAGAAUAUCCUGAAGUACCUGAAAAGGACUAAGGAGAUGUUUCUCGUGUAUGGAGGUGACGAAGAGCUCGCCGUAAAAGGUUACGUCGAUGCAAGCUUUGACACAGAUCCGGACGACUCUAAGUCGCAAACCGGAUACGUAUUUAUUCUUAAUGGGGGUGCAGUAAGCUGGUGCAGUUCCAAGCAAAGCGUCGUAGCAGAUUCUACAUGUGAAGCGGAGUACAUGGCUGCCUCGGAGGCGGCUAAGGAGGGUGUCUGGAUGAAGCAGUUCAUGACGGAUCUUGGAGUGGUGCCAAGUGCACUGGAUCAAUUAACCUUGUUCUGUGACAACACUGGUGCCAUUGCCUUAGCAAAGGAACCAAGGUUUCACAAGAAGACCAGACACAUCAAACGACGCUUCAACCUCAUCCGCGACUACGUCGAGGAGGAGGACGUAAAUAUAUGCAAAGUGCACACGGAUCUGAAUGUAGCAGACCCGCUGACUAAACCUCUUCCACGGCCAAAACAUGAUCGACACCAGAACUGUAUGGGUGUUAGAUUUACUACAAUGUAAUUCACAUGGUGAUGUGAGGGCUAGAUUAUUGACUCUAGUGCAAGUGGGAGACUGUUGGAAUUAUGCCCUAGAGGCAAUAAUAAAUGUAUAGUUAUUAUUAUAAUUCCUGUAUCAAGAUAACAGUUUAUUAUCCAUGCUAUAAUUGUAUUGAAUGAAGACUCAUUUACAUGUGUGGAUACAUAGACAAAACANNNNNNNNNNNNNNNNNNNNNNNNNNNNNNNNNNNNNNNNNNNNNNNNNNNNNNNNNNNNNNNNNNNNNNNNNNNNNNNNNNNNNNNNNNNNNNNNNNNNUUUAUGUUUUUCUUCUAUUUUUCAGAUGAAAAAUAUCAAAGAAUGAUCUCAUAUUAUUUCCAAGAGUGCGACUUGGAAUGGCAAACAAUAUUCCCAUAUUUAAUGUACAAUUGAUGAAACAGUUGUGUGCUAAAAGUUUCGAGUCAUUUCUCGUGAAAAAGACAAUUUUUUGCCGAUUCAGCAGGAAGCAUGUCAAAUUUGAACUACAACUGCCUCAACGUUUGCUCUUUAUUUAUUUUUCAAAAAUCAUUUCUAGGUACAUAAGUAUCUAUUUAAUGAGAUAAACAUCAAAAGAUUUGCAAGAAUCAACCCCUAGCUACGAAUGGUCAUACCGUCGUUUUGACCGCAUUUUGAAACGAGCAUAGAAAAUUAAAAAAAAUUCAAACAAAUGAAAAACCUUUGCAUUGUGUCAUUAUAUGUGACCAAGUUGUGAGUAAUAAGAAUAAACUUGUAAUACAUUAAAUGUUGUAAAAAAUGUUCUUAGAAAUGAGCUAUCACGUGUGAAGAUUCAUGGCUUUCAAGCCAAAUGAUCAAUCUUAUGGACACAUUCAUUCAUAGUUUAUUCAAAUGAUCUCAUAUUAUGCACUAGUCUUCAUCUUGGAAUGGUAAACAAUGUUGCCUAAGUAAGUUUUCAUUUUCUUUGGACGAAAAAAUCAUUUUCCAUUUUUCUAAUGCCCAAAAUUAGUUUUUUUGUGAAGGAUCUAGCAUAUAUUUGUUGCAAAAUUGUACCAAAUCAAUUUUCUAAAAUACCAGUCCAUAUGUAAUGCACAAUUGACCUAAUGGUUGGGUGUCAAAAGCUUUUAUCCACCGCUCCUAAAAAAGACAAAUGUGUGCCGAUUCAAGUGGAAGCGGGUCAAAUUUGAACUGCAACUGCAUUAUACUUUGCUUUUUAUUUUUCCCAGAAAUCAUUAUUAGGUACAUAAGUAUCCAUUUAAUCAUAGAAACACCAAAAGUUUUCCAAGAAUCAACCCCUAGCUAGGAACGGUCAUGCUUGUUGUUUUGACUGCAUUUUGAAAUGAGCAUGAAAAAUUCAAAAAAAUCAAAAAAUUGGAAAACCGUUGCAUUGUGUCAUUAUAUGUGACCAAGUUGCUAGUAAAAAUAAUAAACAUGUAAUAUGGUAAUUGUUUUUUAAAAAGUGUUCUCGGAAUCAGCUAUCUUGUGCGAAGAUUCAUGGUUUUCAUGCCAAAUGAUCAAUCUUAUGGCCACAUUCAUUGCAUAGUUUGUUCAAAUGAUCUCUUGUUAUGCACAAGGGUGCAUCUUGGAAUGGCAAACAAUGUUUCCUAAGGAAGUUUUCAUUUUCCGUGAACGAAAAAAAUCAUUUUCCAUUUUUCUAAGGACCAAAAUUAGUUUUGUUGUGAAGGAUCUACCAUAUAUUUGUUGUAAAAUUGUAUCAAAUCAAUUUUCUAAAAUACUAUUCCAUAUUUAAUGCACAAUUGACCUAAUGGUUGGGUGUCAAAAUCUUUUAUCCACCGCUCGUGAAAAGGGCAAAUUUGUGUCCAUUCACGUGGAAGCGGGUCAAAUUUGAACUGCAACUGCAUUAUACUUUGCUCUUUAAUUUUCCUAAAAUUAAUUUCUAGGUACAUAAGUAUCCAUUUAAUCAUAGAUAAAUUGUGUGAUGGGAAGACAUCGAGGUUUGUAUGGUGUCUGAGGGCCCCAACUCUAGAGCGUGUAAACGAGCAUGCGAACCGCGUGGUCACCGCGUGACUGUGGCAUUGCCACGCAUUUUGGGAAGCAUAGGCAUGUCUGGUGGGUUUAUCACUCCCCUGUUAGGUGUUAGUAAGAAUAAUACAACAGAAAAAUCUCACGAGGAGACUCAAAUAAGCUCAAACAUGAAUUAGCAGCCAAGUGUUUGAUUAGCGGUGGGGGAAAUUCACAAGGCCAAUGGGCGUGAUUUUUCGGUGAGGAUGAUCAUCUACUAAGUAGACUGUCUUGGCAAAUUUUUAGCUCAAAUGAAGGAUUCUAGGUGGCACUUGCUUUGUAAAGUACCACACUGGGCAGAAAUAUGGAUGUUGAAGGUGGGCUCAAAUGAAUUCAUGGAUUGAUCUACCAUAUGGUGGAGGAUGGUGAUUUGGGCAUUGGAAUUUACUGUAAAUUUUUUAUACCAUUUAGACAUGCCAAAGUGGCAGUCCUUCACAAUGCUCUUCUAUGGACAAAAAUUUGUAAAAAUUAUUGAGAGGAAUUGGAUAAAUGAAAUGAGCUCACAUUUGGUGUAGAGAAGUUACACAUGUAGGAACAUGCCCUGGUAAAUUAUUAACAGUAAUUGAGAAAUAUAAAAUAUAUUUGCUUCACAAACUAAAAAUGUGACGAGAAUAAAAGAUUGGAUGAUGAGCUCACAUGGAUUACUGAACAGAGCUCAAAUUUUAUGAGAGUGAUCAUUUGGGCAUAUAGAAUAUUUGGAAAAAUCUUAGAUCAUUUGGAUAUUUCUAGCUAGUACUUCCUUCACAAAACUUCUCUCUGGGUAGAAAAUUUGGAAAUUUGCUGAGGAAUAUUUAAUAGGCAAAUAGAGCUGAAUAUUGGCAUGUGACAAUCAUUUGGAUAUGGAAGAUAGCCAAAAAAGUUUGCAUGCAACACAAGGUGUCUAGAUAGCAUUUGUUUUGCAAUGUGCCAAUCUGGAUAGAAAAUAGAAAUUGAAGUUGUGCUCACAUAAAUGAUUGGAUGGAGCUUAAAUUUGGAGGAGUAUGAUAAUUUGGUCAUAUGAAGACAGUGUAAACAUUUCAUACCAUUUGAAUAAAGAAAAUUGGUACUUCCUUCACAAUGCUCUCCACUGAACAAAACAUUGGGAAAAUAUUGAUGCAAAUUGGCUAAAUAAAAUGAGCUACAAUUUGGUGAAGGGAGGUUAUAUGGUUACGGUCAUGUUCUGGUAAAUUUUCAUCAUUUAUAAAGCAAUAGAAAAUGUAGUUGCUUCACAAACUGAAAAUAUUACCAGAAACAAUCAUUUCAAGGUACAUAAUUAUCUAUUUAAUCACAGAAACAUCAAAUUUGCAAGAUUCAAUCACUACUAGGAACGGUCAUGGCCGAUGUUUUGACUGCAUUUUGAAACGAACAUGAAAAAUUCAAAAAACAAAUAUCAAAAAAUUGUUUUUGCACAGGUUUCUUGAGUUCACUUUUAGUUUCCUUUUUUUCCUUUUCCUAAUUUNNNNNNNNNNNNCCUAAUUUUGUUUAGUUUUUAAUUUUCAUAUUUUCUUUUCCUUAUCUCUUUUCCUUUUUAGUCUAUAUUUCUGAAUACAUGAAUAACCUUUUUCUAAUACAUGUUUCAUAUUUUCAAAUACAAAUUUAACUUUUUUUAUUAUUUGGUCAACAUUUUUAUAUACAGACUUUUUACAUUUUGAAAUGCCUUAUUAAUAUUUUUUACAUACAAGAUUAUUUUUCAAUACAUGUUCACCAUUUUAAUACACAUUUUAAUUUUCUUAAUUGCUUGAUUACCAUUUCCAAAUACAAGAUUUUUUAAUACAUCGUUCAUAUUUUUUAUAUUCACAUUUUUUAAUUCUUUAUUAAGAAAAUUCAAAUACAAGAUUGACAUAUUUUUAAUACAUGUUCAACAUUUUUUUCUAUACGCAUUUUAAAAUUUUCAAAUGCUUGAUUAAAUUUUGAAUUCCUUUUUUUUUGUAAUACUCCCUUUAUUUAUAUGGAGUCAAAGACAUGCGAAGCCCACGUUUUCCACUAUGUGCACCCUCUAUAGUUAUGUUUGCUGUUGGCCCACUCGUUAGAAGAAAAAAACUAAACAAAGGGAUCUUGUUCACCCGUGGCGCAAGCCCAGCAACGCGUUGGGCUAUUUAAAAUGAGCUGGUUCGGUUCUAUGGCAUGAACGGUUUAGUGGCCUCGUGGUUAGCGUGGGAUUUCUAGGCGAUGGGAGGGAGAGGUCUCGAGUUCGACUCGCUCUUCUCCUCCUUCUCCCAUUUUUCAUGCAUAUGUGCCAUUGUUGUGUUGUUCGUCAGGGUAGUGGUCCGCAUGUCAGUGGGUCGUAUUUUUCACGUUGAUGGUAGAUCCCACUCGGAGGGUAGCGGGUAUGCAUGUCAGCUAGGUCCCCCCCCCCCCGGUCCUACCUGCCAGAUCGCCAAGUUAAUGUGUGGAUCUCACCUAUUAGUGCUAGAUUUAAAUUGACACAUAGGAGAAAAACGACACAUCGACGUGGCACGUAGAAGAAAUUGGUGAGGUGGCCGCCCCGUCAUUUCAAUGCAUCACAAAUCAGCAAUUAUGACCAUCCAUAUUAGUCCUAAUCGCCUAGAAUUCUCACAUGGACUAGUGUUGUGUGCUUUACGACCAUUUCGUGUAAGGGACUUGUGACCUUUAUGAUCAAAAUUGAUCGUUAUGGUUUAGCAUUUGGAGCCCUCGAACAUAUUACGACCAAUUGAUGUCAAAUGGUCGUAGGUUUACGAGCAUUUCCGCUAGGGUCACUUCGAGAAGGUCACAAGUUGACAUAUUUCUUGUAGUGCCUAGUUACGUACUAAGGAUAGGCUAGCAACCAGAACAAAAAAGGUUGGCUCCCAAUUACAUGUUAGUGUGUAGUUGUAAUUGCAACUAGGAAAUAAAUAGGGUUGGAUCCCUAGUUAUGUAUCAAGGUGGACUUGCAAGUUGUCAACAAACUCAAGAUGCUUCACACAAAACUGGUAGCAUAGAGAAUGCAUCUCAUCUGUUCCGCCCCAGGGCGUCACCGCCACCCACCUCCCAUGUUUUCCGGGCACACAAUCGCCCCAUCACGACCGCUUCUGCCCAUGACCAUCGUCGACGGAUUCCUUUGUCGUCUGACGUGCUAUAUUGUCGUGCUUUCACCGAGUUGCUGCCCACCUCGAGCGCUACUUCCUCCUAACCUUCUAUGCCAAAACAAAUUGUUUCAUGGCAAUAGAGUAGCCUUCUAUAGUUAAUAUUUUUGUCAUGGUAGGUAGAAAAAACCUAAUGAAAAGUAGUCAAAUCGUCAUCCAAAUCUAACGCCCACGCAGAGGUGGGCAAUUUUCUUCUCUCGUUUCACUCGAGGUGGGUGAUAUUGCUCUCAGUUUUUUUCCUUUUUUAUUUAUUUUGUAUUCAUGUUUCUUAUUACUUUCCAUGUAUUUUUUUUAUUUUCUUACUCUAUUUUAUUUUAUUUCANNNNNNNNNNNNNNNNNAUUUUAUUUCAUAUUUUCUCUUUACCUUUCCUUUAUUCAUUCAACGUUUUGUAUUCCCUUUUUUGUUUCUUUUAUAAAGAGAGGUACUCAUUUUUAAAAAAACACAUUUGUAAUAUAAAUGGAAACUUCAUAUACAUGAACAUUUUACGAAUACAAGUUAAACAUAUAAUAAUAUCCAAUUAGCAUUUUCUCAAUACAUGAAAAAAAUUCAAAAACUUAUGUACAUUUUCUAUAGCCAUGGAAUCAUUUCACAUACAUCUAGAAAUUUUUUAAAUACAUGUCGUCAUCUCUAAAAUAAUGCGACACAUUUCCUAAAUGUAAAUUGAAUUAAUUUUAAUACAUNNNNNNNNNNNNNNNNNNNNNNNNNNNNNNNNNNNNNNNNNNNNNNNNNNNNNNNNNNNNNNNNNNNNNNNNNNNNNNNNNNNNNNNNNNNNNNNNNNNNUCUUUUACUUCUUCUUCUCUUCUUGAUUCUUAUCUUUCUCUUCUUCUACAUAGCUUAGACUCAUCCAACAAAGACUAAAUUGGCUAAUUAUCCUACAAAAUGACAUAAUUACCUUCGUUAGGUGAAAACAUCAUAAGAACCUUGGUUAGCUCAUUAAAAUGACCAAUUUAGCUAAAAAUUAAAUAAUAAGCUCAAAAUGGCAUAAGAACCUUGGUUAGCUCAUGAAUAUUAUAUACUUAGCUUGGCUUCCACCUAAAUGAUAUAAUUAGCCAAUUUAGCUCCAAUAUGGCUUAAUAAGCAUAGUUAGCUCCAAAAUGACAUAUUUAACCCAAGUGAGCUCCGAAACGACCUAUAGUUAGCUAGGCUUCCACCUAAAUGACAUAAUUAGCGUAGUUAGCUCCAAAAUGACCUAUAGUUGGCUAAGUUCUCACAUAAAUGACAUAAUAAGGCUUACGUAGCUCCAAGAUGACCUAUUCCCCCUAACUUAUGUAUUGAAUGGCCUAUUGUUAGCUUAGGUAGAUCCAAAAUGCUUAAUAAGCAUACUUUGCUCCGGAAUGUCCUAUUUUACCCAAGUUAGCUCCUAAAUGACCUAUAGUUAGCUAGGCUUCCACCUAAAUGACAUAAUUAGCUUAGUUAGCUCCAAAAUGGUCUANNNNNNNNNNNNNNNNNNNNNNNNNNNNNNNNNNNNNNNNNNNNNNNNNNNNNNNNNNNNNNNNNNNNNNNNNNNNNNNNNNNNNNNNNNNNNNNNNNNNUAGACCAUUUUGGAGCUAACUAAGCUAAUUAUGUCAUUUAGGUGGAAGCCUAGCUAACUAUAGGUCAUUUCGGAGCUAACUUGUGUAAAAUGUGUCAUUCCGGAGCAAACUAUGGUUAUUAAGCCAUUUUGGAUCUAGCUAAGCUAAUUAUAGGCCAUUUAAUACCUACGUUUGGGGGAAUAGGUCAUCUUGGAGCUAAGUUAGCCUUAUUAUGUCAUUUAGGAGAGAACUUAGCUAACUAUAGGUCAUUUAUUAUUAAAUAGGUCAUUUUGGAGCUAACUAAGCUAAUUAUGUCAUUUAGGUGGAAGCCUAGCUAACUAUAUGUCGUUUCGGAGCUAACUUGGGUUAAAUAUGUCAUUUUGGAGGAUAAUUAGCUAAGAAUGCCUUUUUGGAGCUAAUUAUGUCAUUUCGAGAAUAAUUAGCUAAGUAUAGGUCAUGUUUUAUUGAAUAGACCAUUUUGGAGCUAACUAAGCUAAUUAUGUCAUUUAGGUGGAAGCCUAGCUAACUCUAGGUCAUUUUGGAGCUAACUUGGGUAAAAUAGGCCAUUCAGGAGCAAACUAUGCUUUUAAGCCAUUUUGGAUCUAGCUAAGCUAAUUAUAUCCCAUUUCAUACCUAAGUUAGGGGGAAUAGGUCAUCUUGGAGCUAAGUUAGCCUUAUUAUGUCAUUUCGAGGAUAAUUAGCUAAGUAUAUGUCAUUUUGGAGCUAAUUAUGUCAUUUCGAGGAUGAUUAGCUAAGUAUAGGUCAUGUUUUAUUAAAUAAACCAUUUUGGAGCUAACUAAGCUAUAUGUCAUUUAGGUGGAAGCCCAGCUAACUAUAGGUUAUUUCGGAGCUAACUUGGGUAAAAUAGGUCAUUCCGGAGCAAACUAUGCUUAUUAAGCCAUCUUGGAGCUAAGUUAGCCUUAUUAUGUCAUNAUCUAGCUAAGCUAAUUAUAGGCCAUUUAAUACCUACGUUAGAGGGAAUACUUAAGCCAUUUUGGAUCUAGCUAAGCUAAGCUAAUUAUAGGCCAUUUUGGAUCUAGCUAAGCUAAUUAUAGGUCAUUCCGGAGCAAACUAUGCUUAUUAAGCCAUCUUGGAGCUAAGUUAGCCUUAUUAUGUCAUUUAGGAGAGAACUUAGCUAACUAUAGGUCAUUUAUUUUUACACUUAGCUCGAAGUGUCUUCUGCAUCCUCUUAGUUGAGUAGCACCAUCGAAUUUGAAUGGGCCCCCCCAUUCUUGCCUUGCUCGGGAGAUGCAAAUCAAAUGUUGCAUUUGAUUAAAGAAGCCCGGUGGAAAGAUCUUUUCUAAUUUGCACAUCAACUCCACCGCCAACUCUUCCAUUUCAUGUAGCACGCCAGGCGAUAGUUCUUUCGCACAAAGAGAACGGAAGAAAUAGCUCAGCUCUGUGAGUACUAGCCAUUCAUCCUUAGGGAUAAAGCCACGCAACAUCACCGGCAUUACCCGCCAAUCCAUAUGUGCCAAUCAUGACUCUUGAGACCAAAUAUUUUCAAUUUCUCAAGACUCACUCCCCUCUUUAGAUUCGCAGCAUACCCAUCGGGGAACAUCAAUCGCAUUUUCACCCACAAUAGCAUUUCCCUCAUAGCUGGCCUUUCAAGAUUGAACCAUGCCUUUGGCUUCGCUAUGCUUUGCUUUCCUUUCCGUUGUUGCAAGUUUUGCAACGCUCUAUCACAUAGAGCCUGCAGGUCGAUUCUAGCCUUAGUAUUAUCUUUCGACUUCCCCUCUAUGUCGAACAAUGUACCAAAAAUGGCCUCCGCAAUAUUCUUUUCAGUGUGCAUCACGUCGAUGUUGUGUGGGCAAAGGAGGUCUUUGAAGUAAGGCAGAUCCCAUAAGCAUGGCUUGUGAGUCUAAGCGUGUUCCGUAUUAUACCCUUUGAAGUAUCCUGGACGCAAAGGAUUAGGCUCGAGAGCAUUUAACUGAUCAAGGGUUUGUUGGCCUGUCAACGUAGUUGGUGCAGUGUUUUUGACAACUCUACCUUUGAUGAAAUUCUUCUUGUCUUUUUUGAACUUAUGGUCAGGAUCCAGGAAUUGUCUAUGCAUGUCGAAGCAAGAAAACUUGCAACCAGCCUGCAGCCAACGGAACUGAAGAGCUGCCUUGCAUGUGGUGCACAGGAACCUUCCAUGCACACACCAGCCAGCGAAUAACACAAAUGCCGGAUAAUCAUGCGUUGAGUACAUGUACCACACAUGCAUUUUGAAAUUUGAUUUGGUAGCCGCAUCGUAGGUCUUGAUCCCAUUAUCCCAGGAUUCUUGCAACACAUCCUUAAGCGGCUGCAUGUACACAUUCAUAUUCUUCCCCAGAUAGUUGCGCCCUGGAAUUAUCAACGUCAGGAAAAUGUUCUUUCUUUUCAUAAUCUCUCCGGGUGGCAAAUUGAGUGGAAUGACAAAUACAGGCCAACAACUGUAUUGUGUUGCCAUCAUACCAUACACAUUGAACCCAUCCGUGCUGAUGGCAACUCUAGGUUGCCUUGGAUCUUCCGAUUUAUACUUAUGUAAUGCAUCAAAGUGCCUCCAUGCAAAACCAUCUGAAGUGUGUACCAACAUCUUGUUCCCAUCCGCAUCUAGUUCGGUUCUUUUGCCCAAUUUGUGCCAUGUCAUCUGUCUGGCCGUCUCUUCAACCAUGAAAAGACGUUGAAGUCUUGGUACGAUUGGCAGAUAACGAAGAACACUAAUGGGGAUUUUGGUCUGAUUCUUCUCACCCAUACCAUUGUCUACUGCAACUGCUACAGCAGACCUUCCCUGGUAUGGCGCCAGGAAUCCUCCUGCUACGGCUACGCCUUUAGGAACUUCCUUGGCAAAUAUGCAAAGGAUUUCCCCACGGCCUGGGAGCCUUGCGUUGGUGUUCCCUUGAAGAGGAAAGGGUGAUGUAGCACAGCGGCGGCAAGUAUUUCCCUCGGUUUGAGAACCAAGUUAUCGAUCCAGUGGGAGGAUCUCGUCAAGUCACAAGUACCUGCACAAACACAAAGAGCUUGCACCCAACGCUAUGAAGGGGUUGUCAAUCCCUUAUAGAUUAUUUGCAAAGUGAGAACUGAAAGCAACAAAGUAAACGAAGCAAAGUAAAAGUGAAAGUGGAAACGAUAGUUGUGAAUAGACCCGGGGGCCGUAGUGUUCACUAGUGGCUUUUCUCAUGAAAGAAAGUAGACGGUGGGUGAACGAAUAACUGUCGAGCAAUUUAUAGAACCGCGCAAAGUCGUGACGUUAUCUAAGGCAAUGAUUAUAUCUAUAGGCAUCACGUCCAAAACAAGUAGACUGAUACUUUCUGCAUCUACUACUAUUACUCCACACGUCGACCGCUAUCCAGCAUGCAUCUAGUGUAUUAAGUCCAAAAGAACAGAGUAACGCCUUAAGCAAGAUGACAUGAUGUAGAUGGACAAUCUGAUAUCUACGAUAAAAUCACAUCUUGUUACCCUUGAUGGCAACAACAUGAUGCGUGCCUUGCUGCCCCUUCUGUCACUGGAAAAGGUCACCAGACGGUAUGAACCCAAAACCAAGCACUUCUCCCAUUGCAAGAAUAAUAGAUCUAGUUGGCCAAACAAAACCCAAGACUUGGAGAGACUUACAAGGAUAUCAAAUCAUGCAAAUAAGAAAUCAGCAAAGACUCAAAUAUAAUUCAUAGAUAAUCUGAUCACAAAUCCACAAUUCAUCGGAUCUCGACAAACACACUGCCAAAGAGGAUUAUAUCGGAUAGAUCUCCAUGAAGAUCAUGGAGAACUUUGUAUUGAAGAUCCAAGAGAGAGAAGAAGCCAUCUAGCUACUAACUACGGACCCGUAGGUCUGAAGUGGACUACUCACGAGUCAUUGGAGAGGCGAUGAUGUUGAUGUAGAAGCCCUCCAACUCCAAAGUCCCCUCCGGCAGGGCACCAUGAAGGGUCUCCAAAUGAGAUCUCGCGGAAACAGAAGCUUGCGGCGGCGGAAAAGUGUUUUCAUGGUUGCCCUGAUUUUUUUGGAUUUUUAGGGAAUUUAUAGGCCAAAGAGCUAGGGCAGGGGAGCGCCACGGAGGCCACAAGCCUGGUUGCAGCGGGCCCCCUGGCCGCGAUAACAGGGCUUGUGGGCUCCCUGUGGGCUGCAUGCCUUGGCCCUCAAGCCUCCUGAUCUUCUUCCGUUCUGGAAAAAUUUAUUUCGGGGAUUUUAUUCCGUUUGGACUCCGUUCCAAAAUCAGAUCUGAAAAGAGUCAAAAACACAUAAAAACAAGAACUGGCACCUGGCACUAGAUUAAUAAGUUAGUCCCAAAAAAGAUAUAAAAGGUAAACAAAACAUCCAAAGUUGACAAUAUAACAGCGUGAAACCAUAAAAAAUUAUAGAUACGUUUGAGACGUAUCAAGCAUCGCCAAGCUUAACUCUUGCUCGUCCUCGAGUAGGGAAGUGAUAAAGAAUGAAUUUUUGAUGCUUUCGUGCUACCUAGCAUAGAUUUCCUUUGUAACUCCUCUUAUGUGACGUGAAUGUUCAGAUCCAUUAGAUUCAAAACAAUAGUUUGCUAUUGACGUGGAAACAAUAAUAAUUCAAGCAAACUAGCAAGGUAAUCAUGAACUUUCAGAAUAACAAGGCCAAAAGAAAGUUAUCCCUACAAAAUCAUAUAGUCUGGCUAUGCUCUAUCAUCCUUGCACAACGAAUUUAAAUCAUGCACAACCCCGGUAUUGGCCAAGUAAUUGUUUUCACACCUUUACUUUCUCAUACUUUUUCAACUCUCAUGCAAUACAUGAGCGUGAGCCAUGGUUUUAGCACUAUAAGUGGUGUGGAGUGUGGUGGAGGUUUCAAGGCAAACAAGGAGAAGAUGGUCACAUUGACUAGGCAUAUCAAUGAGCUAUGGAGAUGCUCAUCAAUAGAUAUCAACGUGAAUGAGUAGGGAUUGCCAUAGAAUUGAUGCACUAGACCUAAGAGUAAAUUGAAAGCUCUUAAAGAAAACUAGUGGGUGUGCAUCCAACUUGCUUGUUCACGGAGACCUAAGGCAAUUUUGAGGAAGCCUAUCAUUUGAAUAUACAAGCCAAGUUAUACAAUGAAAAUUUCCCACUAGCUAUAUGGUGGUGACAAAACGAGAGACUCUCAAUCAUGAAGGUCAUGGUGCUUAAUAAGCACAAGUGUGGAAAGAUAGUAGCAUUGUCCCUUCUCUCUUUUUCUCUCAUUUUUUUGGUGGGCUCUUUGGCCUCUUUUUUUUUUUGGUGGGCAUCUUUGGCCACUUUUAGUAAAUGGGCUUCGCUGGCCUCUUUUAUUUCCUCACAUGGGAAAAUGCUCCAUCAAUGAUGUGUUGGGGAACGUCGCAUGGGAAACAAAAAUUUUCCUACGCGCACGAAGACCUAUCAUGGUGAUGUCCAUCUACGAGAGGGGAUGAGUGAUCUACGUACCCUUGUAGAUCGAACAGCAGAAGCGUUAGAGAGCGUGGUUGAUGUAGUGGAAUGUCCUCACGUCCCUCGAUCCGCCCCGCGAACAAUCCCGCGAUCAGUCCCUCGAUCUAGUACCGAACGGACGGCACCUCCGCGUUCAGCACACGUACAGCUCGACGAUGAUCUCGGCCUUCUUGAUNNNNNNNNNNNNNNNNNNNNNNNNNNNNNNNNNNNNNNNNNNNNNNNNNNNNNNNNNNNNNNNNNNNNNNNNNNNNNNNNNNNNNNNNNNNNNNNNNNNNCCUGCUGAGAUUAGAUCACCACCAACCUCCGGAGCGCCGUCACGCUGCCGGAGAACUCAUCUACCUCUCCAUCUCUCUUGCUAGAUCAAGAAGGCCGAGAUCAUCGUCGAGCUGUACGUGUGCUGAACGCGGAGGUGCCGUCCGUUCGGCACUAGAUCGUGGGACUGAUCGUGGGACGGUUCGCGGGGCGGAUCGAGGGACGUGAGGAUGUUCCACUACAUCAACCGCGUUCACUAACGCUUCUGCUGUGCGGUCUUGAAGGGUACGUAGAUCGAACAUCCCCUCUCGUAGAUGGACAUCACCAUGAUAGGUCUUCGUGCGCGUAGGAAAUUUUUUGUUUCCCAUGCGACGUUCCCCAACAGUGGUAUCAGAGCUAGGUUCAUGCGUAGAUGUCUUCUCGAGUAGAACACAAAAGUUUUUGUGGGCGGUGAUGUGUGUUUUGCUGCCCUCCUUAGUCCUUUCUUGAUUCCGCGGUAUUGUUGGAUUGAAGCGGCUCGGACCGACAUUACUCGUACGCUUACGAGAGACUGGUUUCAUCGCUACGAGUAACUCCAUUGCUCAAGGAUGACUGGCGGGUGUCAGUUUCUCCAACUUUAGUUGAAUCGGAAUUGACCGAGGAGGUCCUUGGAUGAGGUUAAAUAGCAAUUCAUAUAUCUCCGUUGUGGUGUUUACGUAAGUAAGAUGCGAUCCUACUAGAUACCCAUGGUCACCACGUAAAACAUGCAACAACAAAAUUAGAGGACGUCUAACUUGUUUUUGCAGGGUAUGCUUGUGAUGUGAUAUGGCCAACGAUGUGAUGUGAUAUAUUGGAUGUAUGAGAUGAUCAUGUUGUAAUAGUUAAUAUCGACUUGCACGUCGAUGGUACGGCAACCGGCAGGAGCCAUAGGGUUGUCUUUAAACUAACGUUUGUGCUUGCAGAUGCGUUUACUAUAUUGCUAGGACGUAGCUUUAGUAGUAAUAGCAUGAGUAGCACGACAACCCCGAUGGCGACACGUUGAUGGAGAUCAUGAUGAUGGAGAUCAUGGUGUGACGCCGGUGACAAGAAGAUCGUGCUGGUGCUUUGGUGAUGGAGAUCAAGAAGCGCAUGAUGAUGGCCAUAUCAUGUCACUUAUGAAUUGCAUGUGAUGUUAAUCUUUUUUGCACCUUAUCUUGCUUAGAACGACGGUAGCAUUAUGAGGUGAUCUCUCACUAAAAUUUCAAGACGAAAUUGUGUUCUCCCCGACUGUGCGCCGUUGCGACAGUUCUUCGUUUCGAGACACCACGUGAUGAUCGGGUGUGAUAGACUCAACGUUCACACACAACGGGUGCAAAACAGUUGCACACGCAGAACACUCGGGUUAAGCUUGACGAGCCUAGCAUGUGCAGACAUGGCCUCGGAACACAUGAGAUCGAAAGGUCGAGCAUGAAUCGUAUAGUUGAUAUGAUUAGCAUAGAGAUGCUUACCACUGAAACUAUUCUCGACUCACGUGAUGAUCGGACUUGAGAUAGUGGAUUUGGAUCAUGUACCACUCAAAUGACUAGAGAGAUGUACUUUUUGAGUGGGAGUUCUUAAGUAAUAUGAUUAACUGAACUAAUUGUCAUGAACAUAGUCUAAUGGUAUUUGCGAAUUACGAUGUAGCUUGCGCUAUAGCUCUACUGUUUUUAUAUGUUCCUAGAGAAAAUUUAGUUGAAAGUUGAUAGUAGCAAACUUUGAAGAGGUUUGUCCUCAUUGCUGCGCAGAAGACUUAUGUCCUUAAUGCACCACUCGGUGUGCUGCACCUCGAGCGUCGUCUGCGGAUGCUGUGAACAUCCGACAUACACGUUUCUGAUGACUACACGAUAGUUCAGUGCAAAAUACUUAAUGGCUUAGAAGCAAGGCACCGAAGACGUUUUAAAACGUCACGGAACAUAAGUGAUGUUCUAAAGAGAUGAAAUUGUGAUUUCAUGCUCGUGCCCUUGUUGAGAGGUACGAGACCUCCGACAAGAUUCUUUGUCCACAAAGUAAAGGAGAAAAGCUCAAUCGUUGAGCGCGUGAUCAGAUUGUCUGAGUACGACAAUCACUUGAAUCAAGUGGGAGUUAAUCUUCCAGAUGAGAUAGUGAUGGUUCUCCAAAGUCACUGCCACCAAGCUGUGAGAACAUCAUGAUGAACUAUAACAUAUCAAGGAUAGAUACAAUGAUCCUUGAGCGAUUCGCAAUGUUUGACACUGCGAAAGUAGAAAUCAAGAAGGAGCAUCAAUAGUUGAUGGUUUGUAAAACCACUAAGUUUCAAGAAAGGCAAGGGCUAGAAGGGAUUCUUCGUGAAACGGCAAAACAGUUGUUGCACUGAUGAAGAGACCCAAGAUUAAACCCAAACCCGAGACUAAGUGCUUCUGUAAUGAGGGGAACAGUCACUGAGGCGGAGCAACUCUAGAUACUUGGUAGAUAAGAAGGCUGACAAAAGUCGAAAGAAGUAUAUUUGAUAUACAUGAUGUUGAUGUGUACUUUACUAGUACUCCUAGUAGCAUGAGGGUAUUGGAUACCGGUUCGGUUGCUAAGUGAUUAGUAACACGAAAUGAAAGCUACGGCAUAAACAGAGACUAGCUAAAGGCGAGGUGACGAUACGUGUUGGAAGUGUUUCCAAGGUUGAUAUGAUCAAACGUCGCACGCUCCCUCUACCAUCGGGAUUGGUGUUAAACCUAAAUAAUUGUUAUUUGGUGCUUGCGUUAAGCAUGAACAUGAUUGGAUGGUGUUUAUUGCAAUACGAUUAUUCAUUUAAAGAGAAUAAUGGUUACUCUAUUUUCUUGAAUAAUCACCUUCAAUGGUUUAUUGAAUCUCGAUCGUAGUGUUACACAUGUUCAUGAUAUUGGUGCCAAAAGAUACGAGGUAAUGAUGAUAGUACCACUUACUUGUGGCACUGCCGCUUGAGUCAUGUUGGUAUAAAUUGCAUGAAGAGGCUCCAUGUUGAUGGAUCUUUAUACUCACUUGAUUUUGAAUCACUAGUGACAUGCAAAUCAUACCACAUGAGCAAGGCCUUGUUUUCAUUGAGAUGAAAUAAGAUUGUAACUUGUUGGAAGUGAUACAUUUUGAUGUAUACAGUCCAAUCGGUGCUGAGGCACGCAGUGGAUAUCAUUAUGUUCUUACUUCAAUGACGAUUUGAGUAGAUACUAGAGUAUUUGCUUAAUGAAUCACAAGUCUGAAAUAUUGAAAAGUUCAAUUCUGUUUCGGAGUGAAGUUCGUCGUAACAAGAGGUUAAACUGUCUAUGAUAUGAUCAUAGAAAUGAAUAUCUGAGUUACGAGUUUUGGUACGCAGUUAAGACAAUGUGGAAAUUGUUUCGCAGUUCAUGCCACCUAGAACAUCAUAGUGUGAUGAUGUGUCUGAACGUCAUAGCCACACACUAUUUGGUAUGGUGCAUGGUAUGAUGUCUCUUAUUGAAUUACCACUAUCGUUUAUGGGUUAAGCAUUAGAGACAACCGCAUUCACUUUAAAUAGGGCACCAUGUAUUUCCGUUGAGAUGACACAGUAUAGACUGAGGUUCAGAGAAAUCUAAACUGUCGUUUCUUGAAAGUUUGGGGUUUCGACACUUAUGUGAAAAAGUUUCAGUCUGAUAAGCUCGAACCCAAAGCGGAUAAAUGCAUCUUCAUAGGAUAUCCAAAACAGUUGGGUACAUCUCCUAUCUCAGAUCCGAAAGCAAAGUGUUUGUUUCUAGAAACGGAUCCUUUCUCGAGGAAAGGUUUCUCUCGAAAGAAUUGAGUGGGAGGGUGGUAGAACUUGAUGAGGUUAUUGAAUCAUCACUUCGACCAGUGUGUAGCCGGGCGCAGGAAGUUGUUCCUGUGGCGCCUACACCAAUUGAAGUGAAAGCUGAUGAUGGUGAUCAUCGAGCAUCGGAUCAAGUUACUACAAGCCUUGUAGGUUGACAAGGUCGCGUACUACUACAGAGUGGUACGGUAACCCUGUCUUGGAGGUCAUGUUGUUGAGCAACAAUGAACCUACGAGAUAUGGAGAAAGCAAUGGUGGGCCCAGAUUCCGACAAAUGGCUGGAAGCCAUGAAAUCCGAGAGAGGAUCCAUGUAUGAAAACAAAGUGUAGACUUUGGAAGAACUACUUGAUGGUCAUAGGACUAUUGAGUAAGGAUGGAUCCUUAAAAGGAAGACAGACGAUGAUAGUGAUAAGUCACUAUUAAGAAAAGCUCGACUUGUCGCAAAGAUGUUUCCGACAAGAUCAAACAGUUGACUAUGAUGAGACUUUCUCACUCGUAGCGAUGCUAAAAGUCUGUUAGAAUUGUGUUAGUAGUUGCUGCAUUAUUUAUGAAAUAUUGCAUGUAGGAUGUCAAAACAUUGUUUCCUCGACGGUUUCCUUGAGCAAACAUUGUAUGAGAUACAACCAUGAGGUUUUGUCGAUCCUAAAGAUACUAGCAAGUAUGCAAGCUCCAGCGAUCCUUAAAUGGACUGGUGCAAGCAUCUCGGAGUUGGAAUAUACACUUUGAUGAGAUGAUCAAGGAUUUUGGGUUUGUACAAGGUUUAUGAGAAACUUGUAUUUCCAAAGAAGUGAGUGGGAGCACUAAAGAAUUUCUGAUAAGUAUAUGUGGUUGACAUAUUGUGGAUCAGAAGUAAUGUAGAAUUUCUGUAAAGCAUACAAGGUUGUUUGAAAGGAGUUUUCAAAGGAAUACCUGGAUUGAGCUACUUGAACGUUGAGCAUCAAAGAUCUAUGGAGAUAGAUCGAAAGCGCUUAAUGGAAGUUUCAACAAGAUGCAUGCCUUGACAAGUUUUGAAGGAGUUCAAAAUAGAUUAGCAAAGAAGGAGUUCUUGGUUGCGUUGUAAGGUGUGAAUUUGAGUAAGACUCAAAACCCGACCACGGCAGAAUAAAGAGAAUAGACGAAGGUCGUCUUCUAUGCCUUAGCCGUAGACUCUAAAGUAUGUCAUGCUGAGUACCGCACUUGAUGUGUGCCUUGUAGCAAGUCUGUUGAGAGGUACAGAGAGUGAUCCAUGAUCGAAUCACUAGCAGCGGUCAAAAUUUAUCCUUAGUAACUGAUGGACUAAGGAUUUUUUCUAGAUUAUGGAGGUGGUUAAAGAGUUCGUCGUAAAGGGUUACGUCGAUGUAAGCUUUGACACUAAUCCGAAUAACUAUGAGUAGUGAAACGGAUUCGUAUAGUAGAGUAGAUAUUUGGAGUAUUUCCGAAUAGCACAUAGUAGUAGCAUCUAUAAGAUGACAUAAAGAUUUUUAAAGAACACACGGAUCUGAAAAUUUCACAACCGUUGACUAAAACCUCUCUCAUGAGCAAGACGUGAUCAGACCCCAUAACUAUAUGGGUGUUGGAUUCGUUGGAAUCACAUGGUGAUGUGAACUAGAUUAUUGACUCUAGUGCAAGUGGGAGACUGUUGGAAAUAUGCCCUAGAGGCAAUAAUAAAUUAGUUAUUAUUAUAUUUCUUUGUUCAUGAUAAUUGUUUAUUAUCCAUGCUAUAAUUUUAUUGAUUGGAAACACAAUACUUGUGUGGAUACAUAGACAAAACACUGUCCCUAGUAAGCCUCUAGUUGACUAGCUCGUUGAUCAAAGAUGGCCAAGGUUUCCUGGCCAUAGGCAAGUGUUGUUACUUGAUAACGCGAUCACAUCAUUAGCAGAAUCAUGUGAUGGACUAGACCCAAACUAAUAGACGUAGCAUGUUGAUCGUGUCAUUUUGUUGCUACUGUUUUCUACGUGUCAAGUAUUUGUUCCUAUGACCAUGAGAUCAUAUAACUCACUAACACCGGAGGAAUGCUUUGUGUGUAUCAAACGUCGCAACGUAACUGGGUGACUAUAAGGAUGCUCUACAGGUAUCUCCGAAGGUGUUAGUUGAGUUAGUAUGGAUCGAGACUGGGAUUUGUCACUCCGUGUGACGCAGAGGUAUCUCGGGGCCCACUCGGUAAUACAACAUCACACACAAGCCUUGCAAGCAAUGUGACUUAGUGUAAGUUGCGGGAUCUUGUAUUAUGGAAUGAGUAAAGAGACUUGCCGGUAAACGAGAUUGAAAUUGGUAUGCGGAUAGUGACGACCGAAUCUCGGGCAAGUAACAUACCGAAGGAUAAAGGGAAUGACAUACGGGAUUAUAUGAAUCCUUGGCACUGAGGUUCAAACGAUAAGAUCUUCGUAGAAUNNNNNNNNNNNNNNNNNNNNNNNNNNNNNNNNNNNNNNNNNNNNNNNNNNNNNNNNNNNNNNNNNNNNNNNNNNNNNNNNNNNNNNNNNNNNNNNNNNNNGGGGUCAGUGGCGUCGGAGGUCGAUGGUCGGGGGUCAGUGGCGUCGGGCGUCAGGGGUCGGGGGUCGAGGGUCAGUUUCGGGGUGCCGGGGUUCCCUUUUCCUCUUCUUUCUUCUUCUCCUCUCUCCUCUUUUUCUUCUUCUUCUUCUUCUUCUUCUUCUUCUUUUUUCUCCUCCUACUCCCCCUCCUCUUUUUCUCCGUCUAUUCUUUUUCUUCUUCUUCUUCUUCUUCUUCUUCUUCUUCUUCUUCUUCUUCUUCUUCUUUCUCCUCCUCUUUCUCCUCCUCCUCCUCUCCUCUUCUUCUUCUUCUUCUUCUUCUUCUUCUUUCUCUCCUCCUCCUCCUCUUCUUCUUCUUCUUCUUCUUCUUCUCCUGCUUUUUUUCCUUCUGCUUUUUUUCUUCUAACCUAACUAACUAACCUAAUUAGCCUAAUAAUCUAACCAAAUAAACUAACUAAAUUACCCUAUAUAUAAUAAAAAACUAACCUAAUAAACUAACUAAAGUAAUUAACUUUUAAAAAAAGAAAAACAGGAAAAACUCACCGGCAGGGGGCGGCGGCAGGGGGCGCGCGGCUGGGGGCUCGCCGCANNNNNNNNNNNNNNNNNNNNNNNNNNNNNNNNNNNNNNNNNNNNNNNNNNNNNNNNNNNNNNNNNNNNNNNNNNNNNNNNNNNNNNNNNNNNNNNNNNNNGGAAUCCAGCAUGUAACACAUUGCAUCCCUUUGUGGUCUCACGCACGGUUAACUCCACGGCUGCAGCCUUACCUUAGCCGGGACCGUUUGCGUCUUUUGACUCACGUAUGCAAUAGUGUCGCUAACAUUCCAAUGUCAAAGAACCCGGAUCGACAAGUCUAGUCAUAAACCAAAGUGGCAGCACUGCACAAGGACAGGCAUACAUGACCCAACAAAGCAGGUGUCGGUCACCAGCGAGUGUAGACGAGUCGUAGCAAGCUACCAGGAAUCCAUUACAUCGCGUGACAUUUCCCCAAAGGGGACAGACACAACAGCUAAGAAGGACACAUGCCGGUCAACCAAUGUGUCCGGAGCAGUAGCGAGCUACCAUGGCUCGUUGNNNNNNNNNNCUCCAUUACAUCGCGUGACAUUUCCCCAAAGGGGACAGACACAUCAGCUAAGAAGGACACAUGUCGGUCAACCAAUGUGUCCGGAGCAGUAGCGAGCUACCAUGGCUCGUUGGAUCACAAAGGGGCAUUUCCCUGUAAGGAGUGCUACUAAAAUUCACGACUAGGUAAUCGAACCCCAUACAUGUCAAGUACGACACACGUACACAUGGCAUACCGAUAUGUAUAGAUACAUCGAUGGCAUCACAACAUAACCAUAACAUACAAGCUUUAUUUAAGAGGCUCAGAAGAGCCGCACAUAUAAUAUUGCACAGUGAGGGUCUCACGACCCAUAAUAGCAGUCAUUCAGUUACAAGCCAGCGGAAGUGUCUAAAACUGUCUGAGUACAAACAGGUGCAACUAAAAGGCACAUGGCCUGACUAUAUUACAGACCCAACCUAGGGCCAGAUCGUNNNNNNNNNNNNNNNNNNNNNNNNNNNNNNNNNNNNNNNNNNNNNNNNNNNNNNNNNNNNNNNNNNNNNNNNNNNNNNNNNNNNNNNNNNNNNNNNNNNNUUGCAUAAUCUGCCCGGGGGGGGGGAGAUUGAGUGGAAUGACAAAUACAGGCCAACAACUGUAUUGGGUUGUCGUCAUGCCGAAGGGAUUAAAACCAUCCGUGGCAGCGCAGACUCGAGGAUUCCUUGGAUCUGCCGCUUUAUCCUGAUGCAAUCCAUCAAAAUGUUUCCACGCUUCCCCAUCCGAUGUGUGUACCAUCAUCUAAUUCCCAUCCGCAUCUAGUUCGGUUCUUUUGCCCAAUUUGUGCCAUGUCAUCUGUCUGGCUGUCUCUUCGACCAUGAAAAGGCGUUGAAGUCUUGGUACGAUUGGCAUAUACCGAAGAACACUAACUGCGAUUUUGGUGUGCCUCUUCUCACCCAUACCAUUGUCUACCACAAGAUACCUGCAAGACUCGCAAUUGGGACAAUAGUCCAAGUGUGCGUACUCCUUCCUAAAUAAGACACAUCCUUUCUCACAUGCAUCUAUCUUCUCAUAGGGCAUCUUAAGUACACAAAGUAUUUUUUCCGACUGGUACAGGUUUGCAGGCAUGACAUGGCCUUUGGGUAGGAAACGUCCAAAUAGUGUCAUCAUCGCGUCGUAGCAUUCUCUUCCCAAGUUGAACUGAGCCUUCAGAGCCAUUACUUGUGCAAUUGCAUCCAGCUGACAGAGCUCAGUGUGCUCAUGGAGAGGACAUUUUGAAGACUCCAACAUUUCAUAAAAGGCCAUUGCAGAUUCCUCCAUCUCAUCUUCCGAAUCCCGAGCAUCAUCAAAGUCUUGCACCAUGUCUUCGAUCCCGGUACCAUGCUCGUCCGUGCGACGACGGACCACCUCAGCUCUUGUGCGUUGUAUAGACUCACCAUGAAAUGUCCACACCGUAUAAUUAGGCUUAAAACCCCUCCUCUGCAGGUGGUUAAUCAUUACAGCCUCUGUCGUCUUUUUAUAGUUGUCGCAUCCAGGACAGGGGCAAUAGUUUCUUUCCUGGCCAUUUGCGAAUGCGUCUUUCACAAAUUCCUUUGUUUUUACAAACCAUUCUUUCGUCAUCUCUUUCUGACUAGGGUGACCGGUAUACAUCCACGCACGAUCACUCAUCUUGCGUAGCUACUAAAGACAGAAGAAAUAUAUUUAUAUAUAAUUUAGCAUUUAUAUUCAUCGGUUAAUCAGGUUUGCCAUUUUUAUUACGUCCAGGCAACCUACACGCUAAUAGGUAAAGAUAGGUCCUAAUCCCACCCGAGUAUGUGUAGACUGGGUUCGUUUUCCCAUGCUCUGCUCCGGAUCCAACGCAAAAUUUCGGCAGCACCUCCCCGCUGUUCUCCUGAUACACGUCUCCGCAAUAAACAGAGAGGAUGUGCAUCCGGAGAACAACGGGGGAGGCACUGACGAAAUUCCGCAUCGGAUCCAGAGCACAGCAUACGGGAAAACGAACCCAAUCUACACAUACUCGGGCUGUCCAUGGAUAAUGUUGCACAAUUCGAAAGGAUGGCGGUUAUAAAUAUGCAAAGACAUGCAUAUUUAUAGAUGUCGCCCUUUCGAACGGGAGACGCAUACUGGUCACGCAUACUCAUGAUUGAAGAAACCUAUAUAUAUAGAUAGCUAGUUUCAUCGGCACGAAGACCGUAAUAGAGCAAAUUAAGGGGGUAGGAGGAGAAGUCAUUUGUGCUCACCAACAAACGCAAGGGCGGAGCUCGUCCAACGCACGUGGAGGUCAUCGAACAACUGCACAUUGAAAUUCACCCGAUCAACACAAAUACGAUGUUUUUAUAAUUAACAUGAUCGGGAAAUAUGUGACCUAACUCAUAAUUUACAAAACUAUGACCCCGUGGGCCUCUGGAAGGCCGAAAAGCAACUUCUCGUUCAAAAGAAGGCAGAAGAGGUGUCGGGGGUCGGCGCUUAGUGGCGUCGGGAGUCAGUGCCGUCGAGGGUCGGUGGCAUCGGGGGUCGGGGGGUUAGUGGCGUCGGUUGUGGGGGGUCAGUGGCGUCGGGGGUCCNNNNNNNNNNNNNNNNNNNNNNNNNNNNNNNNNNNNNNNNNNNNNNNNNNNNNNNNNNNNNNNNNNNNNNNNNNNNNNNNNNNNNNNNNNNNNNNNNNNNAAAUGGGCUAAUUAUGUCAUUGUUGGGGAAAUUAAAGCAAGGAUAAUAAGAAAGAGGAGAAGAAAGAGGAGGAGGAGGAUAAGAAGAAGAAAUCAAGAAGAAGGAGGAGAAGGAGGAGGAGGAGAAGGACUAGAAGGUCCUUGGCCUUCUCCUCCUUCUCCUCCUCCUCCUCCUCCUCCUCCUCCUCCUCCUUCUCCUCCUUCUCCUUCUUCUCUUCUUCUUCUUCUUCUUCUUCUUCUUCUUUCUUUUCAUUUUUCCUAUUUCUUCUCCUCUUCUUGGAGCUAAAUUACCUAAUUAUGUCUUUUUGGAGCUAAAUGGGCUAAUCAUCCCAUUUUAGAGGAAAACAAGCUAAGUAUAAUAUUCAUGAGCUAACCAAGGUUCUUAUGCCAUUUUGAGGUUAUUAUGGCAUUUUGGAGCUAAAUGGGCUAAUUAUGUCUUUUUGAGGAAAUUAAAGCAAGGAUAAUAUGAAAGAGGAGAAGAGAAACUUACCGUAGUGGUCAUCAAGGAGGAGAAACACCACGGUUGCUCGCGGCGGCUUCGUUUGGAGACGGUUGCCCUGGAGAAGGGUCGUGCGAUGCCGCCCGGGAGUUAUUCUGUAGAAAAGAUAUUUUGCAAUGUCUUAGUUAGCAUGAUGACACUCAAUUAUUAAUAAUAGUUUAUAAUGAAACUCACCGUGCCAAUCGAAGAGAAGACGGGCAUCGGUGGAGGGACUUGACCGCUCUUCUCGCACAGACCCUGAAGUGUGGGUCGUAUUAGUUAGUAAUGAAACAGACAUUACACACAUGAUUUGGCUAAUGUGAAAAAAACAUACCACAAAAAGCUUGUACAGGGCCCGUUGACCCGCCUCAUUCCGGGCCCUCUCCUCCUCAAGCAAUCGUGUCGUGGUCUGGUCCCUCUCAUCAAGAGCAGCUUGAAGAGCAGCCUGGCUUGCCAAUCUAUCUUUCUCAAGAGCAGCCUGGUUUGCCGCUCUCUCUUUCUGAAGAGCAGCCUGAAACACCAUUCCUCGUUACCACACUAAUGAUCUAUGGUGACACACAUAAUGAAAUGGAUGAAAGUGUUCUUAGUCCGUACAACUAACCUCGAUGGCAAGUUCGACUGGCCGUGGACGACGCGUUAUCUCAGGACAGCUGCUCGACUGGCGCGCCUUGAUCUCCGGAAGAGUGAGUGGACAACGUAUUAUCCCAUCUCCAAUGGCUAUCGAGCCAUGGGGCCUCCCGCCACGAGAUAUCAUCACCAGCUCUGGAUCCAAAGGUUCCUAGCUAGGGUUAAAGUCACCCCCUUUCGUAGCCUUCCCGCGUCCCUGUAUGCCACGAGCUUCUGGUGGGAUGAUAUGUUGGUGAAGUUACUGGGAUCAUCCCGGUCAGACUCAGAGAAUGCCUUCGCCUUCUUGUACGAGGCAGUAUGGGCCAUGCCAUAAAGGUCGUACAAGUGUGGCAUCUCAGUCUUAUUGUGAUGCGCCUAAAAGAGAGGAACAAAAUAUUAGCAUCAAGAAUGAAUUGCAUGAAUCAUGAAGCAAAUCACAUACCCAGUUUCAUCCAAACUGAAGUAAGUUGGCGCUGCCUUGAUGGUGUGGCACACCAACCAUUUGGCUACACCGAUCCUUCGCAUUCUCGUGGACGGCUCGCCAGCUGCCUGUGCACCACUCAUCAACCAACGCCUCCCAACAAUCCAUCUUAUCCGCACACCAUCUCGGGGGCACCUGUAAGUUAUUAGAAAGAAUUUUCAGCGCUACGNNNNNNNNNNNNNNNNNNNNNNNNNNNNNNNNNNNNNNNNNNNNNNNNNNNNNNNNNNNNNNNNNNNNNNNNNNNNNNNNNNNNNNNNNNNNNNNNNNNNUUGGUCGAGUAGGGAAGAAGGGGAAGGGUACAGGGAGAGGUGGUGGUCGCGGAAGAUCCAGGAGGAUUGUUGAGCCGUCCUCGCCACCACCACCAGCUCAUUGACCCGAGCAUAGGACUAGUAUGGUCGACCCAUUUGCGGAGGAGGCUACGGGGACUCCGUUCUAGGAGCCUGUUGUUGACAGGCAUUCGUCCCAUGAGACUCCGGUCCAGGAGCAGCCUCGGGUCGAGGUGCAUUCGGCCCAGGAGCAGCCGGAGGAGACUACGGUUCCGGAGGCUUCACCCGACAUGGAGAGGCCCGGAUGGGAGACCUGGUCAGAUCGUACUGAAUUGCCGGAUUGGACCGAGGGUCCGGGUGGCUCAGGGGGCGGGGAUGAGCUUACGGAUAGUGAGGGCGAUGUGCAGGUGGACGGGGCCACCGUGUACAAGCGUGGUAGUACACGUCUCCUGGUCGCCUCGGCUACCCGCGAGCAGAGGCCGGUGAUUAAACCUGAAGGAGAUAGGUAAGUACAUUUACCCUUUNNNNNNNNNNAGGCCACCGUGUACAAGCGUGGUAGUACACGUCUCCUGGUCGCCCCGGCUACCCGCGAGCAAAGGCCGGUGAUUAAACCUGAAGGAGAUAGGUAAGUACAUUUACCCUUUUUUNNNNNNNNNNNNNNNNNNNNNNNNNNNNNNNNNNNNNNNNNNNNNNNNNNNNNNNNNNNNNNNNNNNNNNNNNNNNNNNNNNNNNNNNNNNNNNNNNNNNAGGCGGCGGCAGCCCUAGAUGGGGCUGGUGCGGCGGCCAAGGGGGGAGAAGGGGUGUGGCGCACCCCUGGUGGGCCUUAGGCCCACCUGGCUUAGGGUUUGCCCCCCUUUUUCUCUCCCCCACGCAUUGGGCUGAGUGGGGAGGCGCACCAGCCCACCUAGGGGCUGGUUCCCUUCCCCACUUGGCCCACCUUACCUUCCGGGGUCGUUGCCCCCCUUCGGUGGACCCCCGGGGCCACCUCUGGUGGUCCCGGUGGUCCCGGUACGUUACCGGUGAUGCCCGAAACACUUCCAGUAUCCGAAACCAUCCGUCCUAUAUAUCAAUCUUUACCUCCGGACCAUUAUGGAGCUCCUCGUGACGUCCGGGAUCUCAUCCGGGACUCCGAACAACUUUCGGUAACCUCGUAUAACAAUUCCCUAUAACCCUAGCGUCACCGAACCUUAAGUGUGUAGACCCUAUGGGUUCGGGAGACAGGGAGACAUGACUGAGACGCCUCUCCGGCCAAUAACCAUCAGCGGGGUCUGGAAACCCAUGGUGGCUCCCACUUGCUCCACGAUGAUCUCAUCGGAUGAACCACGAUGUCAAGGAUUCAAUUAANNNNNNNNNNUCGUAUACGAUUCCCUUUGUCUGUCGGUAUAGAACUUGCCCGAGAUUCGAUCGUCGGUAUACCUAUACCUUGUUAAAUCUCGUUACCGGUAAGUCUCUUUACUCGUUCCUAGCACAUCAUCGUGUGACUAACUCCUUAGUCACAUUGAGCUCAUGAUGAUGUUCUACCGAGUGGGCCCAGAGAUACCUCUCCGUCACACGGAGUGACAAAUCCUGAUCUCGAUUCGUACCAACCCAACAGACACUUUCGGAGGUACCCGUAGUGCACCUUUAUAGUCACCCAGUUACGUUGUGACGUUUGAUACACCCAAAGCACUCCUACGGUAUCCGGGAGUUGCACAACCGCACGGUCGAAGGAAAAUAUACUUGACAUUAGAAAAGCUUUAGCAUACGAACAAUACGAUCUAGUGCUAUGCUUAGGAUUGGGUCUUGUCCAUCACAUCAUUCUCCCAAUGAUGUGAUCCCGUUAUCAAUGACAUCUAAUGCCCAUGAUCAGGAAACCAUGAUCAUCUAUUGACUAACGAGCUAGCCAACUAGAGGUUGUAUUACUGUUUCGUGUUAAUACAAUUAUUGCAUGAACAAUAGAUGAUUAUCAUGAACAAGGAAAUAUGAUAAUAACCAUUUUAUUAUUGCCUCUUGGGCAUAUUUCCAACAGUCUCCCACUUGCACUAGAGUCAAUAAUCUAGUUACAUUGUGAUGUAUCGAACACCCAUAGCAUUAUGGUGUUGAUCAUGUUUUGCUCGUGGAAGAAGUUUAGUCAACGGGUCUGCAAUAUUCAGAUCCGUGUGUACUUUACAAAUAUCAAUCACUCCACUCUGGACAUGGUCCUAGAUGGAGUUGUAGCGGCGUUUGAUGUGCUUCGUCUUCCGGUGAAACCUGGGCUCCUUGGCUAUGGCAAUGGCCCCAAUGUUAUCACAGAAGAGUGUCAUUGGACCCGACGCGCUUGGAACCACUCCAAGGUUGGUGAUGAGCUCCUUCAUCCAAAUUCCUUCAUGAGCUGCUUCUCAAGAAGCUAUGUACUCCGCUUCACAUGUAGAUGCUGCCACGACUUCUUGCUUGCUGCUGCACCAGCUCACUGCCCCACCAUUCAACACAUAUACGUAUCCGGUCUGUGACUUAGAGUCAUCCGGAUAUGUGUCGAAGCUAGCGUCGACGUAACCCUUUACGACGAGCUCUUCGUCACCUCCAUAAACGAGAAACAUUUCCUUAGUCCUUUUCACGUACUUAAGGAUAUUCUUGACCGCUGUCCAGUGUUCCAUACCGGGAUCACUUUGGUACCUCCCUACCAAACUUAUGGCAAGGUUUAUAUCAGGUCUGGUACACAGCAUGGCAUACAUUAGAGAGCCCACGGCUGAAGCGUAGGGGACAGAACUCAUCUUCUCUCUAUUUGCUGCCGUGGUCGGUGACUGAGUCUUACUCAAUCUCAUACCUUGCAAAGCUGGCAAGAACUCUUUCUUUGUGUUUUCCAUAUUGAACUUCUUCAAUAUCUUGUCAAGGUAUGUACUUUGUGAAAGACCUAUGAGGCGUCUUGAUCUAUCUCUAUAGAUCUUGAUGCCUAAUAUGUAUGCAGCUUCUCCAAGGUCCUUCAUUGAAAAACUUUUGUUCAAAUAGGCCUUUAUGCUCUCCAACAUCUCAAUAUUAUUCCCCAUCAAUAAUAUGUCAUCCACAUACAGUAUGAGGAAAGCUACAGAGCUCCCACUCACUUUCUUGUACAAACAGGCUUCUCCGUAAACCUAUAUGAACACAAACGCUUUAAUCACCUCAUUAAAGUGAAUGUUCCAACUCCGAGAUGCACACUUUGUUAGCACCCUUAGGGUCGACAAAACCUUCUGGUUGCAUCAUAUACAACUCUUCCUUAAGGUUCCCGUUAAGGAAGCUGUUUUGACGUCCAUUUGCCAAAUUUCAUAAUCAUAAAAGGCGGCAAUUGCUAACAUGAUUCGGACUGAUUUCAGCUUCGCUACGGGAGAGAAAGUCUCUUCGUAGUCAACUCCUUGAAUUUGUCGAAAACCCUUUGCGACAAGUCGAGCUUUGUAAACGGUUACAUUACCGUUUGCAUCAGUAUUCUUCUUGAAUAUCCAUUUAUUUCUAUGGCUCGCCGGUCAUCGGGCAAGUCCACCAAAGUCCAUACUUUGUUCUCAUACAUGGAUCCUAUCUCAGAUUUCAUAGCCUCAAGCCAUUUGUUGGAAUNNNNNNNNNNNNNNNNNNNNNNNNNNNNNNNNNNNNNNNNNNNNNNNNNNNNNNNNNNNNNNNNNNNNNNNNNNNNNNNNNNNNNNNNNNNNNNNNNNNNGAGAAGAGGAGAAGAAAUAGGCAAAAUGAAAAGAAAGAAGAAGAAGCACAAGAAGAAGAAGAAGAAGAAGAGAAGAAGGAUAAGGAGGAGGAGGAGGAGGAGGAGAAGGAGAAGGCCAAGGACCUUCUAGUCCUUCUCCUCCUCCCCCUUCUCCUCCUUCUCCUCCUUCUUCUUGAUUUCUUCUUCUCCUCCUCCUCCUCCUAUUUCUUCUCCUCUUUCAUAUUAUCCUUGCUUUAAUUUCCCCAAAAAUGACAUAAUUAGCCCAUUUUGCUCCAAAAUACCAUAAUAAGCUCAAAAUGGCUUAAGAACCUUGGUUAGCUCAUGAAUAUUAUAUACUUAGCUUGUUUUCCNNNNNNNNNNNNNNNNNNNNNNNNNNNNNNNNNNNNNNNNNNNNNNNNNNNNNNNNNNNNNNNNNNNNNNNNNNNNNNNNNNNNNNNNNNNNNNNNNNNNNNNNNNNNNNNNNNNNNNNNNNNNNNNNNNNNNNGUUAGGUAAUUUAGCUCCAACAAGAGGAGAAGAAAUAGGCAAAAUGAAAAGAAAGAAGAAGAAGAAGAAGAAGAAGAGAAGAAGGAGAAGGAGGAGGAGGAGAAGGCCAAGGACCUUCUAGUCCUUCUCCUCCUCCUCCUCCUCCUCCUCCUUCUCCUCCUUCUCCUCUUUCUUCUUGAUUUCUUCUUCUUCUCCUCCUCCUCCUCUUUCUUCUCCUCUUUCAUAUUAUNNNNNNNNNNNNNNNNNNNNNNNNNNNNNNNNNNNNNNNNNNNNNNNNNNNNNNNNNNNNNNNNNNNNNNNNNNNNNNNNNNNNNNNNNNNNNNNNNNNNGUUUAGUAAAGGAGAAAAGGAGAAGAAGAAGAAGGAGAAAGGAGAAGAAGAAUAAGGAGAAAGGAGAAGAAGAAGAAGGAGAAAGAAGAAGAAGAAGAAGGAGAAAGGAGAAGAAAAAAAUAAGAAGAAGAAGGAAAAGAAGAAGGGGAGAAUUGAUUAUCACCCCCCCUGUUCGUGCGCCACCACAACAUAAGCCCCCCUGUUUUCCUGGCUCCCUUUUAACCCCCGGUUUUCACCAUGCUGUAGCUGAUGCCAUCCUUUGCAAUGUUUAACAGAUUAGUCAAUGGAUAAAUAACAAAUGGGUACAUCAAUAGACAAAACUAGUUCACAGUUCACUUAAUUUCUUCUUCUUUGGAGUCAUCUUCUUCUUCUUUCCUUUUGCUGGAGACUUUUUUGGUGUAGCAGCAGCAAAAGUAGUUCAUGGCAGCACAAACGAGUUCACAGUUCACUUAAUUUCUUCUUCUUUGGAGUCAUCUUCUUCUUCUUUCCUUUUGUUGGAGACUUUGUUGGUGUAGCAGCAAUGGGGCGGCUAGGGAAGGGAAGAGGCUUGCCUUACCUUGGAGCAGCAAUGGAGAUGGGGCGGCUGGGGCAGCUGCGGCGGAGGCGAGGCGCAGCAGCGCUUGGGGCGGCUUGGUCAGGGAGAGGAACGAGCAGAGAACAGGAGCAGCUUCUGCCCAGCUCGUGUGACUUAUACUAGAUGAGGGAGUGCAGUUUUGUCAUUUCAGAAAAUAAUUAGACUAGUUUGUGCUAUUAUUUGCUUAAUGUAGAGCUAAUCAACUCAAAGGGGGCCAUUAUCAACAUCGUUAGCACAACUGGGGGUUAAAAGGGAGCCAGGCAAACAGGGGGGCUUAUGUUGUGCUGGCGCACGAACAGGGGGGGUUAAAAGGAAAAGGAAGGGAAGGAGAAGAAAGAAGAAGAAGGAAAAGAAGGAAAAGGAAGGGAAGGAGAAGAAGAAGAAGAAGAAGAAGAAGAAGAAGAAGAAGAAGAAGAAAANNNNNNNNNNUAGGAGAGGAAGAGAAGAAUAAGAGGAAAAAAGAAAAUAAUAAUAAUAAUAAUAAUAAUAAUAAUAAUAAUAAUAAUAAUAAUAAGAAGAAGAAGAAGAAGAAGAAGAAGAAGAGAAGAAAACAAGAAGAAGGAGAAGAAGAAUAAGAGGAAAAAAGAAAAAAGAAAAUAAGAAUAAUAAUAAUAAUAAUAAUAAUAAUAAUAAGAAGAAGAAGAAGAAGAAGAAGAAGAAGAAGAAGAAGACAAGAAGAAAAGAAGAAGAAGGAGAAGAAUAAUAAUAGGAAAAAAGAAAAAAGAAAAUAAGAAGAAGAAGAAGAAGAAGAAGAAGAAGAAGAAGAAGAAGAAGAAGNNNNNNNNNNNNNNNNNNNNNNNNNNNNNNNNNNNNNNNNNNNNNNNNNNNNNNNNNNNNNNNNNNNNNNNNNNNNNNNNNNNNNNNNNNNNNNNNNNNNUUAUAUCCAGAAUUUUUAACAAUAAUCAGGAUAUAUAUAUAUAUAUAUUUUACAUAAAUAAAUUUCUUUCCGUACUCAUAACCAUAUUAAAAUAACUCUCAUCCAUAGUGCAUACAUAUUAUGGAAGUUACAUCCGUACCAAACCAUAUAUUACACCAGUUUCAUCCACGUGCAUACAAAGUUUCAUAUAUUCAUAUACUACAAUAGUUUCAAUACAACCCAUGGUACAAGAAAUAAUCUUCAAGCAUUCCAUCAACCAAGCUUCCCGUGAAGUGAAGGUAAUCUGCAAAAUGACAAAUAAGAAAGUUAGAAAAAUAAUACUAGAUGAAGUAGUGUAUAUAUAGGUUAUUUCGGAGAGAAAUUAGCUAAGUAUAGACCAUUUAGGAGCUAACUAAGCUAAUUAUGUCAUUUAGGUGGAACCCUAGCUAACUAUAGGAGAAGAGAAAGAGAAGAAGAAGUAAAAUAAGGAGGAGGAGGAGGAGAAGGAGAAGGAAGAGGAGAAGAAGAAGAAAAAGGAGGAGGAGGAGGAGGAGGAGAAGGAGAAGGAAGAGGAGAAGAAGAAGAAGGAGAAGAAGGAGAAGAAGAAGGAGAAGGAGGAGAAGAAGAAGGAGAAGGAGCGGGAGCUCCUUCUUCUUCUCCUUCUUCUCCUUCUUCUUCUCCUUCUUCUCCUUCUUCUUCUUAUCCUUUUGUCCCCUUCUUCUUCUCCUCCUCCCUCUCCUCCUUCUUCUUCUCCUUUUUCCNNNNNNNNNNGAGAAGGAGGAAGAAGGAGGAAGAAGAAGGGGAAGGAGGAGCUCCUUCUCCUUCUCCUCCUUCUCCUUCUUCUUCUCCUCCUCCCUCUCCUCCUUCUUCUUCUCCUUUUUCCNNNNNNNNNNAGAAGGAGAAGGAGAAGGAGGAAGAAGGAGGAAUAAGAAGGGGAAGGAGGAGCUCCUUCUCCUUCUCCUCCUUCUUCUCCUUCUUCUUCUCCUCCUGCCUCUCCUCCUUCUUCUUCUCCUUUUUCCUCUUCCUUCCUUUCAUUUUCCUCUUUUUCUCUUCUGGUCCCCUUCUUCGGGCUAAAUUGGCUAAGAAUGCCUUUUUGGAGCUAAUUAUGUCAUUUCGAGGAUAAUUAGCUAAGUAUAGGUCUUUUUUUAUUAAAUAGGACAUUUUGGAGCUAACUAAGCUAAUUAUGUCAUUUCGUAGGACAAUUGGCUAAUUUAGCCUUUCUUGGAUGAGUCUAAGCUACGUAGAAGAAGAGAUAGAGAAGAAGAAGUAAAAUAAGGAGGAGGAGGAGGAGGAGGAGGAGGAGGAUAAGAAGGAAGAGGAGAAGAAGAAGAAAAGAAGAAGGAGAAGGAGAAGANNNNNNNNNNNNNNNNNNNNNNNNNNNNNNNNNNNNNNNNNNNNNNNNNNNNNNNNNNNNNNNNNNNNNNNNNNNNNNNNNNNNNNNNNNNNNNNNNNNNNNNNNNNNNNNNNNNNNNNNNNNNNGCUCCUUCUCCUUCUCCUCCUUCUUCUCCUUCUUCUCCUUCUUCUUCUCCUCCUCCCUCUCCUCCUUCUUCUCCUCAUUUUUCCUCUUCCCUCCUUUCAUUUUUCCUCUUUUUCUCUUCUUGUCCCCUUCUUCGGGCUAAAUUGGCUAAGAAUGCCUUUUUGGAGCUAANNNNNNNNNNNNNNNNNNNNNNNNNNNNNNNNNNNNNNNNNNNNNNNNNNNNNNNNNNNNNNNNNNNNNNNNNNNNNNNNNNNNNNNNNNNNNNNNNNNNAAUGACGUGAUCCAGUUAUCAAGCAACAACACCUUGUUCAUAAUCAGAAGACACUGACUAUCAUCGAUCAACUGGCUAGCCAACUAGAGGCAUGCUAGGGACGGUGUUUUGUCUAUGUAUCCACACAUGUAAAUGAGUCUUCAUUCAAUACAAUUAUAGCAUGGAUAAUAAACUAUUAUCUUGAUACAGGAAUUAUAAUAAUAACUAUACAUUUAUUAUUGCCUCUAGGGCAUAAUUCCAACAGUUGUAACACGGCUACCUCAAGACUUUGAAUGUGGUGCCAUGGUCGGGGUUGAUGCACUCUAGCAAGGUAAGCAUCAUGGCCCCAUUGGGACUAUGAGAACAACCGAGCAAGGUGUGGGUCAUCAAGCACGAAUGGAGUGUUAUCAAUGCUGGAGCAUUAAACUAGCAAUGAACAGUUCUACUUUUAUAUUGAACCAAGCUUGGGGGUUGGUGUUGGACAGAAUGUGGUAUUGCAAAAGUUUUUCGAUGAAUUUAACUCAAACAAUAAUCUGUUUAGUACUAGACUACAGUUGUGACACCCUCGAUUUAAUCGUAUGCUAAUCAUGCACGCAAAUGCGUACGAUCAAACUCAAGGACUCACGGAAAGAUAUCAAAACACAACUCUAGACACAAAUAAAACAUACAAGCUUCAUAUUA